UCGUAGAAUCCAAAAACCUUAUCAGUGUCGUUUGCAUAGCUGAAUGGACUUUCAGGCCAGUUCCUAUUAGGUGAGGCCUUAACUUCUUCUCCAACCCCCGCAAUUCCUUCUUCUUGUUGACGGCUUUUAAAAGUAUGGGAGUUGAGGUCUUUUUCGUUGAAAAUUUCAACCAUGGCUCGAACCCUUCUCCAUCUCGAAGAAGUUCUGGAAUCAGGCUGCUCCAAGACAUGCCUAUGCUUGUAAAAGAAGGAAGCUACAAAUAUGAUGAGAGCUAGAAUUGAAGCCGCCCCGGCAAUUAGGAAUAGGCCCCAAAAGCUUUCAAGACCAAGAGUGUUGCUUGAGAUCCUUGGAAUCCUGGAGUUAUCUUCACAAUUGCUUUCUUGACUGAACCAUUUGCUCCCAAUUUUCAUGAUCUUUUCUCCUUCCGUUAAGCUUAGGACUGCUUGUGAAAUAUCGGGUACAAGAGGAGAACGCUUUGGAAACACCUGCCAAUUAAAGUGAUCGCCUCAAAGAAGUCCCGUUUUUAUAAAUGCAUGUGCGUAGAUGUCUACAUAUAUGUAUAAGGAAAAUGAAUUCCGUGCACGCAUUUUCUCCUCAUGCAUCAUGUUUAAUUAUGACAUUUGAGUUGAAUAAAUCAAGGUGCAAAAAUAAACAGUGGUAUGCAUGCAUAAGGAAAAAAAAAGGUGUGUCUAAAUCAUUUCCUUAUGUAUAAUAGAGAGAAAUCUUACAAAGCCAUAGCCAUCAGUUUUGAAGAUUGGACCAAUCAUGGUAUAUUUGGAACAAUAUUUCGCAAUGAACAGCUUCAUAUUUGGGGUUUCAUCAACAACAGCUGCAAUACCACCCUUUCCACUCCCCUUCGAAAGAGCUUCAUCGCAUUCUUCCAUAGAAUUCAUACCCUUAAGCUUGGACUCAUGGAAACCGAUUUGUUUCAUCAAGAGUUCGCAAACAAAGCUAUUCUCCAUGCAUCCAACAUUCUCCCCUUUUCUUAGUAUAUCCUUUAUAUUCGUGAAAGUUGGUUGGAGUUGUUCAACUGUUAAUAGCGAUGCUAGAUUAGCUGUGUAGCUUUGUGUCAGAACUAGCACAACAAACACCCAUAUAAUCAUCAAGAAUCUGGCCAAGUUGCUAACCACUCUCUCCCCUGUAAAAGUGGUUUAAAAAAAGUGUACCAAACAUAAGUGAAUGCCAUUAAGAUUACUUAUUUUGAAAUUAGCUAGUGAAGGGAUCGAUAAUUACUAUGUGAAAUCACCAUGGUGGAGAAGGAGAACCAAAAGCUUGUGCCAACUUGAUGUGAGGGAGGGCCGCGAAAAUCUUCAUUAAUUUGAUGUUCAAGUACCCAAAUGACGAAACCAAUGAAGAUGAAGAAACAAAAAGUCGUAAGCCACAAGUCCCAUGUCAAAGGCUUCAAGAAAACCCAUGCAUUUUUGCUCCUGGUGUCUCUGCUUGGCACAACCAUUACUACCCCCGAUUCUGUGUAGGGCAUCGUGAAGUCCACGUACAAAGACCUGUUUGCCCUAAUUGUGGUGUCUCCCACCACAGCAUCAAAUUUCUGUCAACAAAAGAUGUAACCAGAGAAAAAUAUAAAUUGCGGGUCCAAAAUGAAAUCAGUUCUCGAUAGUUUAUUUUGACAUAUAAGUUUACCUCAAGAGAUACUUGAUAGACCAAAUCAUUGUAAGUUCCAGCCAUUGUUCCAUCAGAAUUCUCAAAGGGAAUGAACUCGUAAGGAAGAGCGUAUGGUAGUACUUCAACUGCAGCCUCAAAGACAUCAAUACUGAACCCAGUGACUUCCGUUGUGUUAGUGCUAGGGUUCUUGGUUACCUUAACAAACUCACUAAAACCAAGCUUUACAUGAACUCCAAUUCUCAUCUUCUUGUCAUUUGUUGGGAUAUCCCAUCCCUUGGGAACGGAGAAAGAAUCUCCAGGCCAUAUAAUCGGUGAAAGAUUGCACUUAGAUGUUGAAAGUAUGCUUGUAAGAUUGCACUUGGAAGUUGAAAUUGAAAGAAUGCUUGUGUUUGCUGAAUUCAGUGUCUUUACCAUACCAUUUUCUGGUGUCCAAAAUGCAAUAGUUCUUACUCCAUCACCAUUUACAUUAACUAUCCUAAAUGUUGAUGCCUGAAGUUGCCCAUCGUCAAGCCUGAAGUCACCAGCUAUGCCUUUGAAUGAAGUAUUAGAUAAGGCUUGUGAAAGUUUGGGACCAUAUUGAGAGACCUCGAAGGUAUCAAGAUCUGUUGUGUUAUCGGAAUUAUUCCUCUUUCGGAAAUCAGAGUUUUUAUUAAACCCAACUUCUUCUACUGCAAAGGCUAGUGCAAAAGCUGCAUCAUAAGCCCGAAAUCCAAAUACAUCGACAUCAACAUUGAUGAUGGCUGGAUUGUCUUGUUGGAAUCUUCUUUUCCACCGCUUUCGGAAAAUUUUAAGCUCCUCUGUGCUUGGAACGUCAGUUUCCACACCUAAUACUCCUUGCAUUGAAUUCAGAACCACUGGAGGGAUUGACCAUAAACGAUUUCCUACCCCGUUGGUCAUUAUCCAAACAUAGCCUUCUCUCAUCAUUCCUACCUCUUUUGCCUUGGCAAAUAGCUUGGUGCAAAGUUUGGGCAACAUGUGCACAAUGAAGACUCUAGUUUGCAUUGUCAUUAACUUGUGAAGCUCUUUUUCAAUUUGUACAUCUGUAGCUGAUGUGGGAAUGACACUCCGAUAAGGGACAUGAGCAUCAACCUCUUGCAAUGCAUCAAUUAAAAAGGGUAUGACUCCCUCGCCAUACGUAUUGUCUACAUAAAUUGGCACAACUUGUCUCCAUCCGAAGUUUUUAACAAUGGCACUUAUGGCCUUCACUUGGUGAGAGUCGGUUUGUGUGAUUCGGAAGAAGUAGGAGCUUUGGAGUGAAGUAAGAGAGGGGCUUGUUGCAGAAAAUGAUAAAAUGGGUACAUGAGCUUGGUCUCCAAGAUUAACAACAAAGCUAGCCUGCAUUGAUGUCACUGGGCCUAGGAUUGCUUGCACUUCUACCUUCUUUAUCAGGUCUAGAGCUGUGUCCCAAUAAAAAAUGUGACUAGAGUGAGUGAUUAAUCUGAUGAUAUUAGACAUUUAGACAUUCUUUUUCUAGUUAAAAUGGUUAAAAGAUAUGUUUGAUAUUCAGCUUGAAUUCAAUUUUCUUAACUCAAAAAUAGUUUUUGAGUUUCAGGUCAAGAAUCCUUGUUUGGUAGGACUGUUUCAGAAAUUGAACUCAAAAUCAACUUAAAAAAUAGCCUAUAUAUUAAAAACACAGCAAUCAUUUUUUUAGUGUUUCAAACUCAACACACUCUCCACACACUCUCUUUCUCUCUCCUCUCUCUCCUCUAUCUCUACUCUCACGCCAGAUCCCCUAUCUCUCUUACAUCCGUUAGCUCCACCAAUGAGUUAAAAGUUUUUUUUUUCUUUUUUGAUUGUGAACACUUAAAAAAUAAUUUUGAAUUUUACACCAAACAAUUUUUUGAGUCUUACUAAAAAUUGUUCUGGUCUUAAGAAUAAUUAAAAAAAUAAAAGAAAUUGUUUUAGUAGGAUACCAAAAGGACUGUAAACCUUUAUAAAUUGCACAGUUAAUUAUGAUCACAUGACAUACGAAAUGGAUUUGAAUUCCAUCCUAGGAAUUCUUAUUUCCUAUCUGUUUAUCGUACAUUGUACGGUGAAAAAUCAUUAUGAAUUAUUUUAUUUCAAACUAAACACAAAUAGUACUUAACGAAAGCUGACCAUAUGAUAUACUAUGAAUGGAUAGGAUGUGAGGAUCCUAAGAAUUUUUACAAAAAGGACCCGAAGAGGAUCCUUAUCCGUACAAAACGAUGUCAAUAUUCACUAAUACCUCGAAUCUACAAAGAGACAACAUUUUGGUUGGUCGUUGAAGAAGGAAAAGGAUCCUCGUUGGAUCCUUUUCCUGGGGAUCAUAGGGAUCCCGUGAUCGUGAUCGUUUAUCGUACAUCGUGCGGUCAGUUUUUGUUAGGUACUAUUUAUAUUUAAUUUUUUUAUUUUAAAAUAAUUUCUGACUGCACGAUGUACGAUGAACGUCAUGAUCACGGGAUCCCUAGGAUCCCCAGGAUCCUUUUCCGUUGAAGAAUUCACAAAGCUUGACGGGACCAGCUACCUAACACGGUUUGAAGAAUAUAAUUAAAAGACAAAACUGAAAAACAUGCCGUUUUCCCCUCUUGCUCACAUUCCCUUGUCUUGUUAAACACGUGAGAUCGAAAAUUGCAGGGUUUUGCACACGCACCUUUAACAUAAUUUGUUAAUUGUUACACUAAUUAUUUAAACAAAUUCAUUUAUAGCACACUCUAGGCAUGUGUCAUUCAUUACAAUAGGAGAUCAUUAUAUGAGAGAGAGAGAGAGAGAGAGAGAGAGAACCUGCAGCAGCUGCACCAACAACAGUUUGUUUGGAGUCCCUAGUGUUCAAAACAAGCCUGGUCUUGAAGUGAGCAUGAGAUGCAUAGAAGUCCUCGAUGGCCAUUUUGAUGCAACUCAAAUACAUCUUCCCGCUCUGACUGGGUUGAUCGAGGUCAACAACAACACCCACAUUCACUUGGAUCGUUGUGUUUUCCACCGCCGCAACCGUAGCCACAUUGAAAAUCCAUGACAAGAGGAAGAGAAAGCAAAAAAAGACUAUACAAAGUUUCUUGACGGCACCCAUGUUAUUGGAACGAAUGCUUUCUCAAUUUGCAAGUAACAUCUAUUUGUGAAGCUAAAGCAUAUACAUAUAAAUAUAUGAAUGAAUAUGCAGAGUAGGUACACAUGAAAAUUACCUGGAAAAUCACACAUGGAAAAGUCCCUGUGAAAUUCUCAAAGAAUCAGCCGGUCGUCGUCGCCAUGACCCAAUCUAUACGGCCAGAACAAAUAUGUAACCAUAUACUAUGAAAAUUAAGAUAUGUACAUUGAAUAUAUUAACAAUAUUAUAUGGGAAAUUAAACUAAUUUUUAUUGACUUUGUGGUACUCUCUCAAUAAUUUUUUUCGUACUCAUUUUUAUUCUCCUUCUUAUAUUCAUUUCUAUUGUUGUCGUCUUUUGGUAAUUCGGAAGAAAAAUCAUAGUUGACUUAUUUUUCAUUUAAAACUGUAAUUUGCAAGUAAAUAAGAUGAAUGACUUCUUACGCUUAAAGACUCAUAUAUUAUUUGUAGUUAAAUAUGCCUAAAUGGGAAUAGUCUUAGAUUCCACCACUUAAUUCAAAGUUGAAGCAUUCUUCGCUACAUUGAAAGCAGCCAAACUAGAAUUUAAAAUUACGGAUGUAGAAGUUUAAUUGACGGGAACUGCCUAUUUAUAAUCUAAUGCAAAACUGACUUCCUAUAAUAAAGAAUAGUCUUAGAUAUUUUUUAUCUUUAAAGUAAAUUAAAUUAUGAAAGGAAAUUCGAACUUGAGUGCUUAGAGGAGCAUAUUCACUGAUCUACUCAAUGUGAUAACGUUCAUAUCUACAUAUUUGAAUUAUUUUAAUAAUAAAGAAUUAAAUGAAGGAAUCUUUUGAUAUAAGCGCUUUAGUUUUAAAUUUUGUAGACUGAACAUCUAUGUCUUAUAGAGAUUUGAUUAAACUUUUUUUUUUUAUAAUAAUUUUGGUGCUAUAUGUAUUAGAAUUAAUCAUUUUCUGUACCAAAAUUACAUAAUCUGCCACUACCCAAUAUUUUGUUCUGUGAAUCAUUAGAUACUCAUGUUUUUUCUGUACAGGGAAAAGCAGUAAAUCUGUGCAGGUCAAGAUUUUGAUGGACACACUUCUUGCUUACAUGAAUGACAGUAAUUUCAUAUAGGUCAUUACUCAUCCCUGUGUAUAUCUUGAAGGUUACUGUUUUUACUUUAGAAAAAAGUUCUUAUUUGAUGUGAAUAAACAACUGUUAAUUCAUUUGUCAUCAAUAUGACUUCAUGGAAGCAAAACUUAGGACAACUGAGAGAGUGCUAUGUCAAAAUAAUAAAAUUUAACUUGAUGGUUAGAGUGAUAGAUACAAAGCAGAAAGAUACACAUCACCUCAACACUCAAACUCCUAAGUUCAAUUCCCCCUCCUUUACUAAAAUUUUAAAUUUACUUGACAAAUUUUUCAACUUGCCACACCGCGCGCGGGCAUAAAUUAUUGUUUAACUAUUAUGCAAGGCGUUCAACAGACGGGGAUUAAAUGGAAGGGGCAAAAACAAAACAUGAACAAGGAGAAAAGAGAUAGAAUUACCUGCAGAAGCUGUGACAACAACAUCUAAAGGGAAGUUCCUUUUGUGCAGAACAAGCAUGGUUUUGUAGUUAAGAUUUCGAUGCAGCUCAGCUCCAUCUUCCCAUACAAGGCAUCAAAGUCAAGACCCAGACCCACACAUGGACUGGGGUAGUCUUAUUGUUUUGUGCCAUGGCCAGGAAAGUAGUCUUAGAAAAUAAGAACAGAGCAAAAAGGUAGCUGCUGCAGCUAGCCUUCUUGGCCAUGUUGAAAUUUUUUGGGAAAUUUUUCAAGCUUUGCAAUUCAUGACUUCAAGUAAAAAGGAGUUCAUUUAAAUAGACUUAGAAACUGUGGAUUUAAAGCUCUAAACUGGGUUAAUUAUUUGUUGAUUACAUAAAUUAAUACAAGUAAAAGGAAGCAUCCAACACUCCAUAAUCCAUUGGCAGUGAUAGCAUGUAACAUGCUAUCAGCAUCUCCAAAAAAUAGUUUUAAACUCUAGUGGCUAAUCUAAUAUCUAAUUUAACAAAAUCUAUUAUUUGAUCAAAAUUUUUUCUUUUUUGCAGAUUGUCAAUGGUGGUAGGGAUUUUAUGUUCACCCUUCUUCUUGGUGAAGGUUUUAAUUGGAUUUUCCAAAUCAAUGGGUACGGGAUGUCUCUAAAAGUUGAAAAUUCAAAGGUACUAUUUGUCUCAUAUUAUAUUGUCCAAGUCUUUUGGUUUUGGUCAAUCAAAGUAAAUUUCCAGAGAAAGCCAGUCCAAGAUAAAAACAAGGGAACUUUAACGAAAAGCUCCCGGUACUGUUCACUUUAACGAAAAACCACAUUUUUACACUAAAAAGUCAAUCCUGGUACUAUUCACUUUACCCUUUAUUUUGUCCUUAUCAUUAAAACUCAAAGUUUUCAAGCCCUUUUCAUUAGUUUUCCUUAAAAACAACUCAAUAGGAGAAUGCAGAUAAGCCAAGUAAAAGCCCAACUUCAUAAAAGAAAAAUACAAUGAAAUGGGCUCAGAAAAGUUUACACAGGAAAAUGUAAAGCAGCCACCUCUACAAAGCAGCACUACCGCAACUGCAGAUCCUACGCCAUCACCCUGAAGAAGGGCUGAAGAACCAAACGGAUGAACGGAAAAUAGGGGUAGACAAGCUAACCGCACUGAGAGCGUUCCCAUAAUCUUACCAAAUAGUGUAAAAUGCCCUUUAAAUGCUACGAGCCACCAAAGUACACCUCCGGAGGAGAGCCUAGGAAGUGACACCCAAUGAAACUAGCAGCAAUGGUAGAUGGUUGUAAAUUCACAGUGAGGAGCGAUAUUUGGAGAGGAUCAAGGCAUAGAAGCCAAAUAUGAGAUAAAAACAGGGACAACUGAGACCAAACUCAGAGUAAAUACAAAAUACUCAAGAGAGAAAAAAGCUGAAAGCUAAAUGCAUAAAAAGUAAAUCCAAAUCAUCAACCAUGGUGGUUUGGAGAAGUGAAAAAAGGGAUGGAGUAGGGGGAGGAAGGGGGGAUGGAGAGGUAGGGUGAAAACGGAGGGCGAGAAGGGAAGAAAUGAAGGUAAAAGAAGGUUGAAGAAAAUGAAAGACAGAGAAGGGUGAAAAAACGGGGAGAGAAGGGGAGAAAGGGAGGAAUCAGAGGGUGGAAGAAAGGGAAAAAGGGAGGAGCGCGAUGAGGGAUGGGCACUGGGUUGCCGCCGAUCCCAAGCCGGAGAAAGGAGUCGACGACAGAGAAGGUUUCAAAAGUUCAGGAGUUUCUGGGAGAGAAGGAGGGGCACUAAGUCACAGGCUACUGACUGGUGAGUUUUAUAUUGUCCAAGUCUAGCUUUUGACAAAUCAAGGAUGCAUUUAUAUUUGCUUGUGAAAAAAAAAAAAGUUACAGAUAUUUGCUCACCAAGUGUGUGGUAGAGUGGCCACUACGUUUUCUUCCUCUAGAUUUUAGUCUUCGGAGGAGGACUCUACUCUCAUAAUCUCUCUACCCUUCAAUCUCCUUCUAUUUGAACGAUCACAAUUAAGUCACGUCAACAUCUUAUAUUAAUUUUUUAUUAUAGAGAUAAUAAGACAAAAAUCAAUCUAUGAGAGAAGGGGAGGGAAGAAGAUGGGAAUAUGCGGGUAGAUAAUCCUCCUCCUUAGUCUUCGGAUUGGUGCAGUGACUUGCAAUUUUUUUUAUUUUUUUUAUGUGACAUGAGUGUCAAGUGAAGUAUUUUUUCAUUACCCUACCAAUGUGGGAUUGCUAACACGUCUUCUUACGUGUAAUCUCAUUUAGUGGUUCACACGUGAGUUUGUAAAUGAACUAAGGAGACUAUAUCCUUGACAAAAUCAUAUGCUCAAAAUAGUGUAGUACUUGUAUUCAAUUUUUGAAAUAGUUAGUGUUUAGUUUAAGAAAUAGUGAUAGUAUUAGUGUUCAGUUUAAGAAAUAGUGAUAGUACCAGUGUUCAGUUUAAAAAAUAGUGAGUACCGUGUUCAGUUUUCAGAAACAGUCUUUGUUCAGUUUAAGAAAUAGUGUAGUACUUGUGUUCAAUUUAAGAAAUAGUCAGUGUUCAAUUUAAAAAAUAGCAAGGGAGAGGAGAGUGUGUGUGUGACGGACGCGAGGGUUCGAUGCGUCAAAUUUUUAUUACUUUAUUUAUUUAUUUUUUAUUAUAUUAAACUUUUGUACUUUGACGUCAGGGUGUAGUCAAAUGAGGAUUUGAAAGGAUUUUAAAAGACUUUAGAAAGGUGUAUUCAAUUGUGAAUUUGAGAGAUUUUAAUAGAUUUAUAAAUUCAUGGAUUUUUAUGGAGUUUAAUUGAUUUGUAGAUGUCACAGCCCGUCCCGGGAUUUCUAUAUCGGGAAUGUGAAAUGACGAAAAUGACCUUAACGUGACUAAGGUAUGUGUGUGUGUGAUAUAUUUUGGACUAAAUGCACACAUCUCAUAAACUUUUGGAAAUUAUAUUUAUGUAGAUUAAAUUUUGGUUUGUGUUUUGUGUGGUAAGAAAUAGAUUUUUGAUUGUGGUUGGACCACACACAUACACCUCAUCCCUCUCUCUUUCCCCUGUGUCUCUCUCUUCCCCGUCGACUUCUCUCUCUCUCUCACUCUCGAAUUGUACGGCCUCACCCAAGAACCCUCUAAACUUCACAGAUCGAAGCAAAUAAGGUAUGAUUCUUCAUCCUUUUGAUAUUCUGAGUUGAAUGGUACUAGUUUUAGGAAGUGAAACCCUUGGAAUCACGUGAAACCCUUGGAAUCACGUGAAACCCGAACUCCCAUUUUAUGAUACUGUUCAUGCACACGUAAAUUCUUGAUUUUCAGGGAAUUCUAAGCUUGUAGUGAGCUUAGUGAGGUCCCAAGGAAGCUCGGAGUGCUUCGUUUGAAGGUUUUGGACGUCGGGAUCACUGGGUUCAACCUUGGCCGGUUUUCUUGGAAUUGUUCCGGUGAGAUUUCGUGAUUUUUAGACCUUGAAACUAGUCUAUUGUGAUUCUACAUGUUGAGGGCUUCAAAUUGAUAUAUUAUACGAAGAAAAUGGUUGAGAAACGAAGGAGAACAAGGCAAUUGAAAAUUGCCCAGUUUUCCGGCCACCGGAAAAACCAGUCCAGCGAGCUCGCGAGGAAGAAGACGCGCGUGGGCGCGCGUGUACCGUUCCUUGGCGCGUGGGGGCGCGUGCCACAUCAGAAAAUUUUUCUAAAAAUAUUACGACGUCCGUGACGUCAAGUAGGUCAUUGUGGUAUAUUCAUAUACCCAAUUUUAGCACCGUAUGAGAAGUUAUUGAGUAAUUGAACCUAAGUUGGUUACGAUUCGUGGUUAAGAAAAAAAAAAAGUGAAUUUACGAUCCAACCAUUAGAUCGUCACCAAACUUUGAUACGUUGUAAUACGUAAUAUUUGAGGAUUAUAGGAACUUACGGAUUGGGAAUCCGAGUUACGGAUCUUCCGGAAUUGGAGUUGUAAGUUCAUAAAAUAAAAUGUUAACCGUCACUUAGUUUUGGAAAUUGACGGAGAUCCGACAGUUGGAUGGUAAUGAAAUUUUAGGAUGUUGUCCUAGAGAUAUAUUGUGGACCUCUGGAAGUUAUGGAUUUAAAAUCUGAGUUGCAGAUCUUUCAGAUCGAACUACGUAGUGACGUAUUUUAUAUAAGUUAUAUAUUCUAUCGAUAUAAAUUCUGAGGUUGGAUUUGGUUAUUGUUUUAGGCGCCGAUCGUCAUGACGCCUUGACGUAUUGUGCUAGGGAGUUGUAGGGCGAACUACAGGUGAGUGGGCAGUUUUGUUUUCGUACUACCUAUAUACAACUGGUUUUUCCAGAAAAUGCGUUUAUAUGAAAAUUAUGAUUUAAAUUGCCAUGCAUGCAAAUGUUGAGAUAUUUAGUUUGAUAAUGGAUGCAUAUAUAUGUUAAUUGACGCGGUGGACGCACAUGUAAGUUUUUAUAUUAUUCAGAUGAGUUAUUUGAUGAGAAUUGCAUUGAAAGCUCAUAACCUGCACCCUAGGUGAUAGUGCUUAUAUUAUUCACCACACCGCACGCUCGUCUUGGAUCCAAGUAGGUGGAUGUCGUACAGACCAUGUGAGGGUUCCGACAUGCUAGUCGUAUAGAUCACUAGAUGUGAUUCCGACUAGUGGGUGACCUUAGUUAUGCGCGUUGAUGAUUGAUGAGAGAAGCACUAGAGUAUUUAUACACCUUUCAUCGUACAGACUACUAUACGUAGUUCCGAGUGAUGUGCAGUGUAGUGCCAUACAGGUCACAGUUGGUGACUCCGGUAGGGUCGUAUAGGUCACUGUGGUGACUCCAGCUGAGUGGGAUGUUGAGCUUUAGAAUCAGCCGUACAGGACCAUUGUAGGGUCUCCGGUUGAUUUAUUAUUUCACCUGAUUGAUAUUGAUGCAUUUCUGAUUAUAUUUGGCAUGGCGUGGCAUAUUAUUUCUGAGAUGUUAUGUUGAUGGAUAUGAGCUGAGUUUUGAUGAUAUGUGUAUAUAUAUGUUUAUAUACUAUUUUUUCUGGGAAAGUAUACAGGUUUUACAGCGAGGGGUUAGAAAUGUUUUAAGUGAAAGAAGUGAAAGGUUUUCGAGAAACUUUGUUUUACUGACCCACUCAAUUUUGUUUUGCGCCACUCCAGGUUCAAGUUAGCAGAGCUUUGGUGGCUAGGAGAAAUCCAGCGGUGUUCUGACAGAAUUCACAAAAGUAGGAUUCACCCCCGGGUGUUAUAUCUUAGUAAUUGUAUCUCUAAAGCUUCCGAACUGUGUAAAUGGUUACGUCACUCUUAUGUGACGGCCAGCACGCCCUCCUUCGGGACGGGGUGUGUCAGUAGAGAUUUCAUAUAAAAUUUUAAUUUAAUUCCCUCGAAAUCUCAUGAAGAGAGGUGAGAUUUGUGAAUGCUUAAAAUAAACUACUAAAUCUCUCAAAUUCUCUCAAAUUCCUCAAAACUUAUCCCAAACUUUUUUUUUAUAUUAAAGCUCCCUAAAACCUAACAAUAAACACUCUACAUAACCAACAACAAAAGCACUAAAUUAUGUAAAUUCAUUAUGAGUGUGGACACUAAUUGUGACGACCCGUCCCUAAUUUUUCUAUGUAAUUUCUCCCCAAGUAUGUGUAUUGACGAUUAUGCCCUUAUCGGCAAGUACAACAACAACAACAACAACAACAAAGCCUUUUCCCACUAAGUGGGGUCGGCUAUAUGAAUCCUAGAACGCCAUUGCGCUCGGUUUUGUGUCAUGUCCUCCGUUAGAUCCAAGUAAUCAAGUCUUUUCUUAGGGUCUCUUCCAAAGUUUUCCUAGGUCUUCCUCUACCCCUUCGGCCCUGAACUUCUGUCCCGUAGUCACAUUUUCGAACCGGAGCGUCAGUAGGCCUUCUUUGCACAUGUCCAAACCACCGGAACCGAUUUUCUCUCAUAUUUCCUUCAAUUUUGGCUACUCCUACUUUACCUUGGAUAUCCUCCUUCCCAAUCUUAUCCUUUCUCGUGUGCCCAUACAUCCCACGAAGCAUCCUCAUCUCCGCUACACCCAUUUUGUGUACGUGUUGAUGCUUCACCGCCCAACAUUCUGUGCCAUACAACAUUGUUGGCCUUAUUGUCGUCCUAUAAAAUUUUCCCUUGAGCUUCAGUGGCCUACGACGAUCACACAACACGACGGAUACACUCUUACACUUCAUCCAUCCAGCUUGUAUUCUAUGGUUGAGAUCUCCAUCUAAUUCUCCGUUCUCUUGCAAGAUAGAUCCUAGGUAGCGAAAACGAUCACUUUUUGUGAUCUUCGCUAGAUUGCUCCGGUCAUUAGUGUGGAUAAGUAUAUAAAUGGAUAGAGAUAGGAAAGCAAACACAAGAUGUACGUGGUUCACCCAGAUUGGCUACGUCUACGGAAUAGAGGAGUUCUCAUUAAUUGUGAAGGGUUUACACAAGUACAUAGGUUCAAGCUCUCCUUUAGGGAGUACAAGUGAAUGAUUUAGUACAAAUGACAUUAGGAAAUAUUGUGGGAAAAUGAUCUCGUAACCACGAAACUUCUAAGUACCGGAGUGUGGUAUCGUCUUGACUUUCCUUAUCUGUCUCAUAGGUAGAUGUGGAAUCUUCUCUGGAAGUACUCUUCCUCCAUCCAGGGGUGGUAUCUGUAACUGGUGGAGAUGCACAAGGUAAUGUAUCAAUGUCACUUGAAGCUUACUUGUAGUUUCAGGCUUGGUCAAGCACGAUACAAACCAUGUAGUAGGAGUCCCCUAAGUCGCCGAGCUAGGGGAUCUGCUGAAAGAGUUAACAGACAAGGUAAGCAAUCAGAGUUCCGGCUGAUUGUUCACAUUCUCCCUAUCUUGCAGGCAGCAUGAAGGAUAAAGAGAAGAAAAAUGAGAAGAGAUGAUAUGGGAUACUUUUGCUUUUGAAGAAGUAACUUUCCACAGGCUUAUUCUUGAACUGGGCUGGAGGGUUUUCUGGUUUCCUCCAAAGUAUAAGGCCGACUGAAGAAUUUGAGGGUCAAAACAAGUCCAUCAAAUCUAGAGUACGUUCGACCCUGCUGAUAUGGGAUACUUUUGCUUUUGACAGAGUAGUGGAUGUAUCGGCACGUGUGCUGUUACGCUUGUCUCCACAUGCUUCCUUGUAUCCUUCUCACUUGCCCUAUCUGUUCCUCAGGCAGAUGCGGUAUCUUCCUUGGAAGCAUAAGAUGUUGAAGAUGAGUACUCGAGAGCAAUGCCAGGGUAAGGGGUUCCAGGCAGUCAGUUCCUGGCUGGAAGCUUGAUUCCAAGUGCUGACUGAUUGCUCUCUUUCUCCUUGUCUUGCAGGUAAGAACAAGGCCAAAGGAAAAGACAGGGAAAAAGCAUGAUAUGGGAUACUCUUGCUUUUAACCUUGAUGAUAUGAGAUAUUCUUGCUCUAGUAUAGCUUGUUUACAGAGGUAUUAUCGGGGGGAAAGAAAGCUGAAUAUUUCGAAAGACUUCGUUGGGAGUGCCCUCUCAGAUAAGAGGAAGGGUUGAGCAUUUUUGCAGGUCUGUCUGUCCGUUGGGGAUGGAGGUCGACAUAUAUAGGAGUCUCCCUAACAUCAAGUAAUAAUGCUAUUCCUUUACCCUGCUUGGUCAUAGCACGGUAGUGGGAGCUGCCAGCUUCACAAGUUUUAACUCUGUCAGAGCACUUUGAAAAAGUGGUCUGUGGUAUCUGGAAAGCUGAUGUUGCGUGUGAAGAUUACAGACAAGCUUUAUCCAAUGAGAUCUGGCUCUUGAAGUUGGGAAAGUGGCGCCUCUUCGGUUUUCGAACAAGCAAUCCUGUCGGGGAUCUGGCUCUCGAGAUUCGGAGAACGAUGCCUCUUCGAUUUUUGAGAAAGCAAUCAUGCUGGGGGUCUGGCUCUCGAGAUUCGGAGAGCGGUGUCUUCAAUUUUUGAGAAAGUAAUCAUGUUGGGAGUCUGGCUCUCGAGAUUCGGAGGGCGGUGCCUCUUCGAUUUUGGAGCAAGCAAUCUUGUUGGGAGUGUUUUCUCGAAUAUGAGUAAAGGUUGGGCAUGUUUGCUAGUCUACCUUGCCACGAAGCACAGAGGUUGACACACAGGGACUUUCCAAUUAUCCAGCAGUGGUACUGUUCCUUUACCCUCUCUUCGAUUUUUGAGAAAGUAAUCAUGUUAGGAGUCUGCUCUCGAGAUUCGGAGGGCGGUGCCUCUUCGAUUUUGGAGCAAGCAAUCUUGUUGGGGGUGUUUUCUCGAAUGUGAGUAAAGGUUGGGCAUGUUUGCUAGUCUACCUUGCCACGAAGCACAGAGGUUGACACACAGGGACUUUCCAAUUAUCCAGCAGUGGUACUGUUCCUUUACCCUCUCUUCGAUUUUUGAGAAAGUAAUCAUGUUGGGAGUCUGGCUCUCGAGAUUCGGAGGGCGAUGCCUCUUCGAUUUUGGGGCAAGCAAUCUUGUUGGGAGUGUUUUCUCGAAUGUGAGUAAAGGUUGGGCAUGUUUGCUAGUCUAUCUUGCCAUGAAGCACAGAGGUUGACACACCGGGACUUUCCAAUUAUCCAGCAGUGGUACUGUUCCUUUACCCUUGUGGGUAAUAAUAUGGUAGCUAGGCCUUCAAAAUUUAUGUGUCUAAACUUUGUUAGUGUUGUUUCUUUGCUAUUCUUUUACCCUUCUUGGUCAGAGCGAUGUAGUGAGAGUUGCAAGCUUCACGUGUGUCUCGACUUUGUCAGAGAACUUUGGCAAAGUUAUAUGUGGUACCCAUGAGCUACUGUUGCGUGUGGGAAGUGGGUGAUUGAACAGUACGAUUCAUGUGCUUUCUACUUCGCCAGAAAUCUUCGACAGAAUGCCCAUAAUUUCCGCAAAGCUGAGUGUGCGUGUGACAGGUGCUGACAAGGCUGGAAAAGUAGGUGCCUCUUCGAUUUCUGAGAUCGGCCCUCGUGGUCUCUGAGCAGCCCAGCUUUUGAGAAAGCAAACCUCUUCGAUUUCUGAGAUCGGCCCUCGUGGUCUCUGAGCAGCCCAGCUUUUGAGAAAGCAAACCUCUUCGAUUUCUGAGAUCGACCUUCGUGGUCUUUGAGCAGCCCAGCUUUUGAGAAAGCAAACGCCUCUUCGAUUUUUGGAGCUUCGUCGAGUGCAGAUUUUUAUAGAGGCUGACAUUAAGUUCCAAAGCCCACUUGAAUAUCCACCAGUAGAAGCUCCAUUCUUGCACUUCUAAGAUCUUGAUUUGUCCGACCUCUUCUCUCUUCUACACCUUUGAAAAUGUCUGGCCCCUCCGACCGUCGUUUUGACUUGAACCUUGUUGAAGAGGCAGCCCCGCCUUCUCCAGACAACAUAUGGCGCCCAUCCUUCGUCUCCCCUACUGGUCCUCUUACCGUUGGGGAUUCCGUGAUGAAGAAUGAUAUGACCGCUGCGGUAGUGGCCAGGAACCUUCUCACUCCCAAAGAUAACAGACUACUUUCCAAACGGUCUGAUGAGUUGGCUGUUAAGGAUUCUCUGUCUCUUAGUGUUCAGUGUGCAGGUUCUGUGUCUAAUAUGGCCCAAUGCCUAUUUGCUCGAACCCGCCAAGUUGAAUCAUUGGCGGCUGAAGUGAUGAGUCUCAAACAGGAGAUUAGAGGGCUCAAGCAUGAGAAUAAAGUUGCACCGGCUCGCACAUGACUAUGCUACAAACAUGAAGAGGAAGCUUGACCAGAUGAAGGAAUCUGAUGGUCAGGUUUUACUUGAUCAUCAGAGAUUUGUGGGUUUGUUCCAAAGGCAUUUAUUGCCUUCGUCUUCUGGGGCUGUACCACGUAAUGAAGCUCCAAAUGAUCAACCUCUGAUGCCUCCUCCUUCUAGGGUUCUGUCCAGUACUGAGGCUGCCCGAAUGAUCCCCCUCCGGUGCCUUCUCUUUCUGGGGCUCUCUACCGACUGCCGAGACUGCUCCUAAGCAACCUUUGUGAAGGCUCCCUCUUGUUUGUUUAUUUUGACUCAAGUAUAUGUACAUAUUUGUAAUUUAUCGAGGAUAUCAAUAAAUAAGCUUUCCUUCAUUUCAACGUAUUGUGUUAAAUUACCAAAGCCUUCUUCGCUAAGUUCUUUGAAUUUUCUUUUGUUGAAGCUUGUAUGUUGGAGCUUUGUGAGUGGAGCAUGUAGGUUGAGGUAGUGUUCCCUUAAUUUCCCGAGCGAGGACAACUUCUCGGUUGGAGACUUGGAAAAUCUAAGUCACUGAAUGGAAUCGGCUAUAUGAAUCUUAGAACGCCAUUGUGUUCUGUCCUGUGUCAUGUCCUCCGUUAGAUCCAAGUACUCUAAGUCUUUUCUUAGGGUCUCUCUCAAAGUUUUCUUGGGUAUUCCUCUACCCAAUCUAAAAAGCUAUCCUUGGAUUCCUUUUAAAUCCUACCCGUGCACUUCCCUUCAUCAUUCAGUCUCAACUAUUCCAUCUUUUCUUUAUUCUCUGUCCCCCUCUAUCAGAAAAAGCAAAGAAAAUUUCAAAACCUCACUCUCUUCUUUCUCUCUCCCGUGAACUCUCUCUUCCUCUGCAACUCCAUGAACGAGCUCCAAAGCUCAUAGAUUGAACAAACAAACUACAUCAUCAUGCUCAUCUUAGUCCCACGAUCACGACCAUACCCCUGGUUCAAGUGUUGACCGAGUUUUGAACGUCCAACUCGGAAGGUCCGACUCGGCGAGUUCGAUACUACGGUUUUCAAGCCAUGCAUGGCUUAGGUAAGCCUUGAGAAACCCUUAGAACCUUCAUUUCACUUCUAUGGGUUGUUAUUGAUCCUUUGUUUGUGUUUGAACGUGUGGUUUUACCCAGAAACUCGAGAAGAAGGAGAACCCGAAGUUUUUCGUUCAAGAACCGUGGCCAUUUAGUCACUUUCAAACCAUUUUUUUGGUUAACCUCGACCACAACUGGACUUCUUCUAGGUACAAACUUGUUCUCUACAUUCCUAACUUCAAAAUGGCUUUUGAAUCACUGAGUUUGGUUAAGUAAUGAGUUAGAAAUCAACUCUGAAAGUUGGGAAGAAAAUUUUAGUUUUCUAGAAAAUUUCAGCCGUGGUCGUUUGGCCAUUUUCAGGCCAAAUUUCUGAACAACACGAACUAUAUUCAAACUUUUUGUAAAUUGGGAUCGGUAGAUCACAUUUCUAGCUUUAAUUUGGAUUUUGUAGAAGUGAAUUUGGUUGAGAAUCGAGCUCGUUAUUGGCUCUGGAAGUUGGGCCAAAAAUUUGCAAAACUGCAGAUUUUCGCGAAGAAGGCGAGUACAGUGUACUCGCGGGGGCGUGUGGGCGCGCGUGGACUAAACCUUUAGACGGCGUGUGGGGGCGCGUCUGGCCUCCGGCCGGCGCGUGGUUGACACGUGUGUGUUCGUAUCGUCGAGUAGAUCAAUUUCAUAUAUUUAUACCCUAGGUUUGAGCAAACUAUGGACGUUUUAUUUAGGUUUCCGUUGUGUGCUUUAAUUAAUGUUAUUUAGUUAUUUCACAUAUAGGGGAAACUUAUUCCGAGGAUUUUCGAGGCCAAGCUAGGCUCGGGGGCUACGACCCAGCGACGUACUUGUGAGUGGGCAGUUGUUUUAUACCUAUAUAUAUUUAUAGUUUCCAUAAAUGCGUAUUUAUUUCACUUUUACGCUUAUCUUGCCUAGUAUCAUUAUUGUGAUAUAAAUUGUGAUAAAUGUUGUUAUAUGGUUAUGAUAUUACUGUCGUGGCAUUCAUACGUACUUGUGUACAUGUUCAUCUUGCUGCACCCGGUGUUAGUACUCGCCCCAGGGCCAGGGCCAGUCCUUCAUGUGUAUGUUUACAUCCGCACCGUUCGCUCACCUUGGAUCCAAGUUUAGGUGCCAGUCUUGUUGGGUAGAUUGCAUUAGGCGAUCCGACUUGUAUGUGAUGUGCUUUUGCACCAGUCUUCACGUGAUCGUAGUACUAGAGCAUAUUGAUUACACCCAGUUCUGUUCGUGUCAGAAACCAUCUGUUCGAACUUGUGUGUCAGCUUAGAUGGAUGAGCACUUAGUUAUAUUGAUUAUCACAUGAUUAUUAUUGUGGCAUAUGAUACAUCAUUUACUUGGCAUAUUUCUGGUUAUAUGGCUGAUAUAUUGGAUUUCAUACUUACGUAGUAUGUUUUGAGGAAACUAUACUUGUUUUACGGCGAUGGGUUAGUAUAUUCAAAGAUAAAUGUUUUCUUAUAAGCAUUGUUUUGCUGACCCACUCAACUUUAUUUUUCGCCCCUCCAGGACCUAGAUAGCUGUACUCUCUGUGGCACUCGAGGAAUCACGAUAGUUCUGACAUUUCCUUUUAUUAGACGUACGAGCUUAUCACUAUUAUGUAAUAAGUGUACUUUGGUUGCUUUGACUACUCUUUCGUAGUCUCACUGUCUAUUACGCUCUGAAUAAAUUGCGCACUCUUUCACUGUUUAGUUCUAAUUAGUUUUAAUUUUAUUCACUUUUUGCAUCAGUUACCCUUAUGGUUACGUCACCCAGGGCCGGUCCUGAGUUUUUUGGUGCCCAGUGCAAAAGCUCAAAAUGUGCCCUUUUUUUAAUACGAAAAUACAUGUUUAAAAAAAAUAUAUUUAACGAGGAUAAUCACAUGUAUGUGUAAAAAGAUUCACCACUAAUAGCAUGCAAAAUGGCUUCCAAUUUCUGUCAUGCAUGUAUAAAAUUUUAUUCACAUCAACCAAAUUACGAUUAAAAACAGAUGGAUAAUCACAUAUUCAAACCUGCAAAUGGCUUUUGACUUCAUCAUUAGUAAGCCCAUCAACCUUCAUUAAUUCUCUAAUUUGUUUUGGUGUAGCAGCUGCAAGAAAGAAAAAAGAAAAAAAAAACCAAUCACAUAACGCAUUAAAUACACAUCCAAUACAUCCCAAAUCCAACCAGAUAUUCAUCCAAUCAUGUAAAAUAACAUAUCCCACUAAAUUAAUCUCAACUGCAUACCAUGUGAACCACCAAGUUGUUGAAGAGCAUAAGCUGAAAUACCAAGCUCUCGUGGCGUCCUAUUCCAUGCUAUUUCUCCUUGGAGGGGGUCAUCAUUUCCUGCAACAAAUAGGGGAUUAAUCAUGAGUUGAUGUAUGGUCGCUUCAAAACCAAAGCAUGUGGCAAAAGGAAAGGUGAAACCACUUGCAAAGCAGUGUUAGGUUGAGUCUUGAAAAAACACGAAAACUUGGUUGCCUCUAUUUUUGGUUCUGCAUUUACCACUGUUCAACAAUCUACCAACUGGAACUCAUCCAGCUAAAAUAAUCAUGAACUAAAGAAAAAACCCUUUCAUUUCUUGUCAAAUAAAGAUUUUCUUACCCUGCCUUCUAGAAAAACAAGGUGGGAUGGAAUCAAAUCAUCAUAUGCAGCAGCGGAUAAGUAAUCAAUUCCUAUAUUUAACAAAAGACGAACACGUCAGCUUCAAAAGAAAGAACAGAAAUGAUACCAUAAACAGCAAAAUAAUCAGUUAUAUCUCACUGAGAAGAGCUCAGUAUAAGAUUAUAUUACCCUAAUCAUACACGCAGACUGUUAGAAACUACAUGUCAUAAAAAAUAACAUAAGUGCGAAUAUAUAUAUCUCACCAACAAGUUUAAUGUCUGUGUUCUCCACAAACCACUGUGCUCCAUCCCUCAUAAAUCCCACAUAGCUGCUGUAUUCUUGAACAUAAUCCGCCUAAAAUUGAAGUAAGCUCUAGUUAAUAACUUAAUAUAAAGUUUCUUUGAUAAAUACACCAUAAUCUCAUGCCUCUCGACGCAACAGGAAGCCAAUUUGCAAACUUAUUCUCAAAAUUAUAGUUCUCAACCCUAAUUAAGUUAUAAUAGCAAACAUGUAACAGCAAUUGAUAAAUACACCCCUAUACUCUGUACAGCACACCCAAAUUCCCAGAAACCCUAGAAUGACAAUACAAUUAAAAACGGGAACAGAAAAUUAGGGAAAUAAAUUCGAAAAGUCGAUUUGAGGGUUUGCAAAGUGAAGCAUACCUGAUUACUGAAGGUAACGAAAGACUACGAAAUCAACUCCACGGAGGUGAUGGAGGUCAUCGUCGCAGAAGUCGUGCCGGCUUCAAUGACUGUGAUGAGGUCCGCGGCCCAGUUUCCAUGAGGGAGAGAUUGCAAUGGCAAAUGGGUAGGGUUAAUUGGGGGAUGGGUCGUUCAACUCUUUUGUCAAACAUCGGCUGGAAUUUUUUUUUUUUUUUUUUUUUUUAUACUAAUUAUGUGGGUUUUUCUUUUUUGGUGCCCCUUUAAUUUUGAGCCCCGGACACCCGCCCCGGUUGCACUGGGCCUGGGCCGGGCCUGACGUCACCUCACGGUGACAGCCAGCAUGCUUCGACCUUUCCAGGUCGGGUUGUGUCACUAAUGCUAACAUAAUUCAAUGAAUAAUUAUACAAUAAUUUCUUUUACAAUAGAACAAGAUAAAUUGACAUUGCUAGGUUUACAGAAAGUUCAUGUGAAUUGAAUAAUAAGGGGUUUGGGUGAUCGACUUAGAAUUUAAGUGAUAGAUUGCUCUAGUGGUCCGUCUUUCUCUUCAACUCCACUUUGUUCUGGUUUAAAUACUCCCCUCUCCUUAUUGUAAAUUAGUGUAGAAUAUCUCUUGUACUGAAAAAAAACUUACAAAUAAAAGCCAGUUGAUUUUAAAUUUAGAAUUAAAAUUAACUCUUGAAAUCAUUCAUGGAAAUUUGGAAUUAUAUAACAAACAAUUCAUUCUGAAAUGGGAUAGUGGCUGCAAAAAGCAAAUUAUGAAAAAUGUGAUAGAAUUCUGCAUUAUUGUGGUCUUGGUCUUGCCGGGGUCAUUACUCUAGACUAUCGUCAUUUUAUAAACCAUGAAUGUCUCUUGAAAAUUUCAAUCUUUGUAAAUGAUAGAAGUGAAAAUUGCUAAAUAAUUUACAGUAUACAGUUCCACUUUUUAAUAUCCUAUCACUUUAUGGAUAAGAUACUCUUAUUAAAAAUAAAUAAAUAUAAAUAUAUGUAUGUGUGUGUGUAUGUGUAUCUUGAUGCCUUAAUGUAAAAAACAAAUGCCAAUUAAUGUUCUCUUUGAUUCGUUGUCAAAAUGUUAAUUUGAUGGUUAAAAAAAUUUCAAGCAAAAAAAAAAAAAAACACUUGUCUAUCAAUUUCCAAGUAAAUUGCAAAAUCCUGAUGGAUAGGACCUUAGCCUUGCAAUCACUGUACUUGAGUUUGGAAUUCCUCCCUCUCCUUAUUACUGCGUAGCAAUAUCUUGUCUUAAAAGAAGUAAUGUAGUAUAUUUAAAAGGUAUAGCUACUACAAAAGUACCUAGCAGUGGCAUUUUAAAAAGCGACAAGAAAAACCUAUUAAUGUUGGAUAUUAAAGAAAAAUCCGAAAGAAACUCAUGUAAUGACGGAUAAAAGAACCGACAGCAUUGCUAGCGUCAUGAAAAGGCUUUUGCUGUCGGUUAGUUCCCUUAAUUUGUCAAGAAAAAGGAAAGUGUUUAAAAAAAAAAAGAAGACAUUAGUGUCGGAUAAAAGUGACAUUGAAACUCCAGUCGGAUAAUAAAAAAAGCAGAUUUUCUCGCUCAUAACCGACGCCACUAACCAUUAAUAAUAAAAAUAUAUAUAUAAAAAGCCUAUUCCAGUUUUUUAUUAAAUAAAAUAAAUAAUUAACAAAGUUCAAAUUUUCAGUAAAUCAUAGAAUAUAAAUUGAAAACCAACUAAGAAAAUUAAAGACCAAUUAAGCAAAUUUGCAGAAAACUAUGGAUUUUCAAAUAAUUUUUUUUUCACUUUUGCAAUAAUUUUCAAAUCAAAACAAAACACAAUAGAAAAAAAAAAUCACUCAUGCAUUGACUCUAAAUCAAAAUCUAAUCUAAAAGAAAAAAACUCAACUCAACUCUCAAAUUUACCUGAUAGAGGCAAAAAAGGCAGAGAUUGGCAUUAAACCCAAGUUUCGAUUUGUGAAGAAACCUAAAACAACCAAAUUACCAGUCAUUCAAUCAAAAUUAAUCAAACCCAAGUAUCGAUUUCCAUCAAUAAAGAGAGAGAUACAUACUUGCUCGUUGACGUAAUUUCGAGAUCGGAAAAGAUGUCAGAGUUGUAAGGAUUCUUGUCGAGCAGCUGCUCCACUACAACACCACAUGUUGCUGCUGUAUAACCAAUCUCCACCUCCUUUGAAAGACAAAACCUUUUUAAAUUCGCGACUGGAGGACCAAACCCAAAAAGAAAAUUUUAGGGAUGAGCAAGAAUUCCAGAGAAAAUUUAAACAUUUUCUGCAAAGAUGGUUUUUUUUUUUUUUUUUUUUUUUUUUUUGGAAAAUAAAUAGAGAAAAAAUAGAUUGAAAGUUUUGAGGAGUAGUGGAAAAAGAACCACGGGGAUGCUUCGAAGGUAGGGUGAAGGGAGAAUAGUGUUGUUUCGAAGGUAGGUGAUGGAGAAAGAAACAAGGAGAGAGAAGCGGCGCAUGAAGGAAAUAGGGGAAGAGAAGGCUUUUAUUUAGGGUAGAAAACUAGAGUUGGACAAAACCGACAUCAUAUAUUAAUUCUGUCGGUUAAAACCGACACCACCUUGGGCCCAUUGACAUCACUCUGCCCAAUUCUGCGUGCAAAACUAGCGGGAAAAUUCAUGCCCAAAUAUUUCACGCCAAUUUCGUCAGAUAAAACCGACAUUACGCUAUCCGACACAAGUUUGAAAUAUUAAAAAAAAACAAAAAACAAGUCCUGUCGGUUAUAAGCGACAGUACUGCCAAUUUUGAAAAUAUUGAAAAAUAAAAAACAAGUCAUGUCGGUUAUAAGCGACAGUAAUGCCGACAUUAAGCUAUCCGAAGCAAGUUUGAAAAUAUUUAAAAAACAAAAAGCAAGUCUUGUCGGUUAUAAGCAACAAUACUGCUUUGUUAUCCGACAUUUAAACAGGCUGUCGAAAAUGUCUUAUCUGACAGUACAUUGUAUAAAACCGCCACUAGUCUCCAACACAAUAAGCCACUUUUGUAGUAGUACGGUCUAGUGGUAUUCAUCUUCAUUUGUAAGUGAAAGGUCUUAAGUUCGAUUUUCGCCAAAGAUGAAUUUGAACACAUUAUUGCUAGCCAAUUGUGAGGCUUAGCCCACUCCCCUCCCCUUAGUGUAAAUAAUAUCGUUUGUUAAAAAAAAAAAAAACAUAGGUAUAAGCAAAAGUUAAGGUAUUCAAAUAAAAAUGAAGAAGGAAGAAACAAGUCUAAGAACAUGUGGGAAUAGAAGUGGGUUCGGUACAAUUACCGUACCAAUUACCAUACGAAACUUUUGGUUUGACAAAAUUUAUUACCAUUACCAUACCAAACUUUUGGUAUACCAAAGUUCGGUAUUACCAAAUAGUUCGGUUGACAUGGUAAGUCAAUGGUAAUUGCCACUUUUUUGACAAAAUCUGCUUUUAUUUUUUAGCCCAAUUCAAGGGCAAAACUUUUUUUUUGUACCUUCUUUUUUUUUUCUUUUGGUGAACUGGAAACAUAUAUUGCCAGGGCGAAAGCCAAACGUACAUGGAAAGCCCACCAUAGGGGCAAACAAAGCAACAUAAACCAGAAAGGGCGGUGUAAGGGGAAUAAGCAAUAAGACGUUGCCACAGAAGCAAGGCGUCACCCCAAAACACCCCCACAACAAAAAACUAUUAAGGAGGGCACGAAAGUCCAUCCUUGUUGAGAAUGUGUAUCAAUGAAGAUGAGGGUCGUCUAACCCAAGUUUUGCUGCACAUCUUCAUGUUCUUCCUCGACGCCAAAAGGUCUACCGUCUGGUUGGCCGAUCUUGGAAUCCAAGACCAGCAACAGCCCUAGAAAGAAGUUCCCAUACUUGAAAUUCUUUCCAAGAUUGGGUAAACUUCCCAGCUGCCAUUAGAAAUAUCCCCAAGCAGUGAAGAGAUUACCUCAGAGGAAUCCGAUUCCACCAUGACCCAACGAAAGCCCAAUUCAGCUGCCAACUCACAACCCCGAAGCACCGUCAUCGCCUCUGCAACCACCACAUUCAGAUCCACAAUAGAGAGCUUGCGGGCAACCACAAAUUAUCCCCUGUGGUCUCUCAACACCACAGCUAAACAAGCUCGACCGUCCGCUCGGUUCCAGCUCGCAUCAACGUUCAACUUGAUAUAUGGGUCAUUUGGGGGGCACCAUUGUGUAGGAGGCCUGGAUGAGUCAGGGAAAGGCCAAGGAAUAGAAGGGCUUGGAAGAGUAGCCUCCCAGAAGGUAGCUGAAGUGAAAGAAAUAACAUGCACCACCUGAGAAGGAACAAUGACUUUAGCAUUGAAAACAUACAUACAUCGAGUCUUCCAAAUAUGCCAGCAAGAAAAAGCAAUAACAGAAAGGAAUCUCGAUCUAUCUGACAGGCGAUAAGCCACAUCAAUCAUACCUCGGAGCCAGAUUCCAAAGGAAGAAAUACCCCGACCAUUAACCCGAAAGCCAAGUGGACCACCAAACCAAACGGGCUUAACACAGGACAAAGAAAUAACAAAUGCAUCACCGAUUCCUCCUAGUUGUUACAAAUUGGACACACAGGUAAGGGAGACGACCGAUGAGAGAAUAAUCUUGCCAUGGUGGCCACCGCCUCCCGCACAACUCUCCACAAGAAAUUCUAAAUUUUUGGUAGGGCAUUCAUCUUCCAUACAUUGUAGCCUUGCACCUUUAUCUCAUAUAUUGUAGCAUUGCACCUUUAUCUCAUACAUUGUAGCCUUGCACCUUUAUCUCAUACAUUGUAGCCUAAAUUUAUCUAUAAUUCAUCAUUCACACACCCAAUAAUUCAAAUGAUGCAGCAAGAUUCAUGAUGAAGAUUAAGUUUACAAUCCAAAUAUAAGUUACGAACCAAAACAAAUAGAAGUUAACAAUCCAAAUAGAAGUUAAAAGUCUCAAACCAAAUGAAAAUUGGAACUAAACUUCAAAAAGUAAAAUUCAUUGAUCAAUUCUUCAAACUUGAGAUGUCGAAGCUUUUGGAUGAGGUAUUGAACUUGUAGAAGUUUGAGCUUGUGCCAAGCCUACAUUACAAACAAAGAAAACAUAUUAGUAGCAGGAAUAAUUAAAGUUAAAAACCAUUUAAUAACAAAUUUACUAAAAGAAUUAAAGCAUAUCUUACUUGUUUCCACUUUUUCUAUUUCCUUGUAAAAUCGAAUCAUAUAUUCCGUUGGUUCUUUAUAGAAGUUUACUUUAUCUGCCCUAAGCCAAUUACUAGUACACACUAGUGCCUCUAUCAUUUUAGGAGUUAAAUAUGCUCUAAAAGGGUCCACAACCAUCCUUACUAGGCUAAAUGCAUUUUCACUAUAACAUUGGUAGAAGUGAGGAUUGCAAAUAUAUCCUUGGCUAUUUGUGAAAGAAUUGAGAACUCUUUUGUGUUUGAUUUCCACCAAUUCAAGAGAUCAAAGUCACCAACAACAAUGCUAAUAUAAGUAGAGUUUUAUUUUCAAAUUAUUUGAAUAUUAUAAAUAUGUGUUAUAUAUUUAUAUAUUAUAUAAUUUAUAAAUUAUAUAUUAUAUAUUAUAUAAUUAUAUUUUUGGUACUGUACGGUAAUACCGUGGCAAUGAUAUCUAUUACCAAUACUGUAUCAUGAAAUUUUGAUACGGUACAAUACCGUACCAUUACCGAUUGGUACAAAAUCGGUAUGGCACGGUUGACAAUUCGGUUGGCAUGGGAAUUUGGCAAAAAAAUCCACCCGUACGUGGGAAUGAAGUGAAUAAUUUUCCGAAAGUAGUUAUGUAGAUAUGACUAGGCCAAGCAUUCAGAAAUAUAGUAAGAAACGAUGAUUUCAUCUAAAAUGAGAUUCCAGGAGAUAUAUUGUAGGACAAGGCAAAACCUAGUUUCCGAGAAAUAGUUGGGUAGGAGGUCAAGGCUGCCAAUGACAUCAAUUCAUAACUAAAUAUGUUGAAUAUUGUUGAAAUAGUGAUGUGCUCAACAUGUAUUUGAUAUAUAGAUCAACUUGAUGCGUCGCUGGUAAAUCGCUAAGGUGUUAUUACGUACGAAUCAUCCAAUUCUAUACCUGAAGGCUCUUCCUCCUUUUUGGAGCUACACAAUUAGCUUUGAUUCAUAAAGUUCACGUCUAAGAUAUUUGCGGACUCACCCCUAAUGCCUGGUGGUGGAUGGUGGCGGCGGUUCUUAUGAUGGGGCUAGGAUUUUUAUUUUUUCAUAAACAUGGAGUUGACAUGAUUAUGCAAGAGAGAAAGAAAUAUACAAGGUAAGACGUUCUAUCCGUUAUUAAAAACUUGGGUUAAAAACCUAUUUGAUGCCAAUAUGCCAAUAAGCAUGAUGUCUUAUUUUCUUUUUCAAGCGAUAUUUCUACUCUAAAUUACUCAAAGUGACUCGGAACGCAACGAGUUGAAGAGGAAGACCCUAAACACCAGGGCAAUCCACCACUUGCAUAUCUAUGUUUUUCUUGGAACAUAAAUUUGUACACCUGAUACACCUUGCAUAGAAAUUUUGACCGAUGAGCUCAUCAACUUUAAACGAUUAGCGAUCCCAUACGUAGUGAUCCAAACAUAGCCUUGGAGCACAUCAUAAUUUAAAUUUGAUUAGAUCAACUUGACAAACAACAACAACAACAACAACAAAGCCUUUUCCCACUAAGUGGGGUCGGCUAUAUGAAUCCUAGAACGCCAUUGCGCUCGGUUUUGCACAUGUCCAAACCCAUUUUGUGUACGUGUUGAUGCUUCACCGCCCAACAUUCUGUGCCAUACAUCAUCGUCGACCUUAUUGCCGUCCUAUAAAAUUUUCCCUUGAACUUCAGUGGCCUACGACGGUCACACAACACGCCGGAUGCACUCUUCCACUUCAUCCAUCCAGCUUGUAUUCUAUGGUUGAGGUCUCCAUCUAAUUCUCCGUUCUUUUGCAAGAUAGAUCCUAGGUAGCGAAAAUGGUCGCUCUUUGGUAUUACCUGAUCUCCGAUCCUCGCCCCUAACUCAUUUUGGCCUCCAUUUGCACUGAGCUUGCACUCCAUAUAUUAUGUCUUUGAUCGGCUUAGGCGAAGACCUUUAGAUUCCAACACUUCUCCAAAGGUUAAGCUUCGCAUUUACCCCUUUUGAGUUUUAUCUAUCAACACUAUAUCAUUUGCGAGAAGCAUACACCAAGGAAUAUCAUCUUGAAUAUGUCCUGUUAACUCAUCCAUUACCAACGCAAAAGGGUAAAGACUUAAGGAUUGUUGAUGCAAAAUCAGUGAGGACUUUGGUACAACAGAAAGUAUUAAGUUAUUGCUUUGGUCAUUAGUGUGGAUAAGUAUGUAAAAGGAUAGAGACAGGAAAGCAAACAUAAGAUGUACGUGGUUCACCCAUAUUGGCUACGUCCACGGAGUAGAUGAGUUCUCAUUAAUUGUGAAGGGUUUACACAAGUACAUAGGUUCAAACUCUCCUUUAGUGAGUACAAAUGAAUGAUUUAGUACAAAUGACAUUAGGAAAUAUUGUGGGAGAAUGAUCUCGUAAUCACGAAACUUCUAAGUACCGAAGUGUGGUAUCGUCUUCACUUGCCUUAUCUGUCUCAUAGGUAGAUGUGGCAUCUUCUCUGGAAGUACUCUUCCUCCAUCCAGGGGUGGUAUCUUUAACUGGUGGAGAUGCAUAAGGUAAUGUAUCAAUUUCACUUGAAGCUUACUUGUAGUUUCAGGCUUGGUCAAGCGCGAUACAAACCAUGUAGUAGGAGUCCCCCAAGUCGCCGAGCUAGGGGAUCUGCUGAAAGAGGUGACAGACAAGGUAAGCAAUCAGAGCUCCAAGCAAUCAGUCCCAGAUCAGAAGUUUGAUUUCGAGUUCCGGCUGAUUGUUCUCAUUCUCCCUAUCUUGCAGGCAGCAUGAAGGAUAAAGAGAAGAAAAGGAGAAUAGAUGAUAUGAGAUACUUUUGCUUUUGAAGAAGUAACUUUCCACAGGCUUAUUCUUGAACUGGGCUGGAGGGUUUUCUGGUUUCCUCCAGAGUAUAAGGUCGACUGAAGAAUUUGAGGGUCAAAACAAGUCCAUCAAAUCUAGAGUAGUGGAUGUAUCGGCACGCGUUCUGUUACGCUUGUCUCCACAUGCUUCCUUGUAUCAUUCUCACUUUCCCUAUCGGUUCCUCAGGCAGAUGUGGUAUCUUCUCUAGAAGCAUAAAAUGUUGAAGAUGAGUACUCGAGAGCAAUGCCAGGUAAGUAAUCAGGUAAGGGGUUCCAGGCAGUCAGUUCCUGACUGGAAGCUUGAUUCCAAGUGCUGACUCAUUGCUCUCUUUCUCCUUGUCUUGCUGGUAAGAACAAGGCCAAAGGAAAAGACAGGGAAAAAGCAUGAUAUGGGAUACUCUUGCUUUUAACCCUGAUGAUAUGAGAUAUUCUUGCUCUGGUGUAGCUUGUUUGCAGAGGUUAUCGGGGGGAAAUAAGGCUGAGUAUUUCGAGAGGUUUCGUUGGGAGUACCCUCUCAGAUAUGAGGAAGGGUUGAGCAUUUUUGCAGGUCUGCCUGUUCGUUGAGGAUGGAGGUCGACAUAUAUAGGAGUCUCCCUAACAACAAGUAGUAAUGCUAUUCCUUUACCCUGCUUGGUCAUAGCACGGUAGUGGGAGCUGCCAGCUUCACGUGUGUCAGAGCACUUUGAAAAAGUGGUCUGUGGUAUCUGGAAAGCUAAUGUUGCGUGUGAAGAUUACAGACAAGCUUUAUCCAAGGAGAUCUGGCUCUCGAAGUUGAGAAAGCGGUGCCUCUUAGGUUUUCAAACAAGCAAUCCUGUCGGGGAUCUGGCUCUCGAGAUUCGGAGAACGGUGCCUCUUCAAUUUUUGAGAGAGCAAUCAUGCUGGGAGUCUGGCUCUCGAGAUUCGGAGAGCGGUGUCUCUUCGAUUUUUGAGAAAUUAAUCAUGUUGGGAGUCUUGGCUCUCGAGAUUUGGAGAACGGUAGCUCUUCGAUUUUGGAGCAAGCAAUCUUGUUGGGAGUGUUUUCUCGAAUGUGAGUAAAGGUAGGGCAUGUUUGCUAGUCUACCUUGCCACGGAGCACAGAGGUUGACACACAGGGACUUUCCAAUUAUCCAGCAGUAGUGCUGUUCCUUUACCCUUGUGGGUAAUAAUAUGAUAACUAGACCUUCAAAUUUAUAUGUCUAAACUUUGUUAGUGUUGUUUCUUUGCUAUUCUUUUACCCUACUUGGUCAUAGCGAUGUAGUGGGAGCUGCAAACUUCACGUGUCUAAACUUUGUCAGAGAUCUUUGGCAAAGUUAUCUGUGGUACCCCUGAGCUGAUGGUGCGUGUGAAAAGUGGAUGAUUGAACAGUAAGAUUCACGUGCUUUCUACUUCACCAGAAAUCUUCAACAGAAUGCCCGUAAUUUCAACAAAGCUGAGUGUGCAUGUGACAGGUGCUGACAAGGCUGAAAAAAGCAGGUGCCUCUUCGAUUUCUAAGAUAGGCCCUCGUGGUCUCUGAGCAGCCCAGUUUUUUAGAAAGCAAGCCUUUUCAAUUCUGAGAUCGGUCUUCGUGGUCUUUAAGCAGCUCAGCUUUUGAGAAAGCAAACGCCUCUUCGAUUUCUGAGAUCGUCCCUCGUGGUCUCUGAGCAGCCCAGCUUUUGAGAAAGCAAACACCUCUUCAAUUUCGGGGCAGACGCCUCUUCGAUUUCUGAAGCUCCGUCGAGUGCAUAUUUUUAUAGAAGCUGGCAUUAAGUUUCAUAGUACACUUGAAUCUUCACCAGUAGAAGCUCCCUUCUUGCACUUCUAAGAUCUUGAUUUGUCCGACCUCUUCUCUCUUUAACACCUUUGAAAAUGUCUAGCCCCUCCGACCGUCGUUUUGACUUGAACCUUGUUGAAGAGGCAGCCACGCCUUCUCCAGACAACAUAUGGCGCUCAUCCUUCUUAUCCCCUACCUCUUACCAUUGGGGAUUCCGUGAAGAAUGAUAUGACCGCUGCGGUGGUGGCUAGGAACCUUCUCACUCCCAAAGAUAACAGACUACUUUCCAAACGGUCUGAUGAAUUGGCUGUUAAGGAUUCUCUGGCUCUGAGUAUUCAGUGUGCAGGUUCUGUGUCUAAUAUGGCCCAACGCCUAUUUGCUCGAACCCGCCAAGUUGAAUCAUUGGCGGCUGAAGUGAUGAGUCUCAAACAGGAGAUUAGAGGGCUCAAGCAUGAGAAUAAACAGUUGCACUGGCUCGCACAUAACUAUGCUACAAACAUGAAGAGGAAGCUUGACCAGAUGAAGGAAUCUGAUGGUCAUGUUUUACUUGAUCAUCAGCGGUUUGUAGGUUUGUUCUAAAGGCAUUUAUUGCCUUCAUCUUCUGGGGCUGUACCGCAUAAUGAAGCUCCAAAUGAUCAACCUCUGAUGCCUCCUCCUUCUAGGGUUCUAUCCAGUACUGAGGCUUCGAAUGAUCCCCCUCCGAUGCCUUCUCUUUCUGGGGCUCUACCGACUGCUGAGACUUCUCCUAAGCAACCUUUGUGAAGGCUCCCUCUUGUUUGUUUAUUUUGACUCAUGUAUAUGUACAUAUUUGUAACUUAUCGGAGAUAUCAAUAAAUAAGCUUUGCUUCAUUUCCAACGUAUUGUGUUAAAUACACCAAAGCCUUCUUCACUGAGUGGGGUCGGCUAUAUGAAUCUUAGAACGCCAUUGUGCUCGGUCCUGUGUCAUGUCCUCCGUUAGAUCCAAAUACUCUAAGUCUUUUCUUAGAGUCUCUUCCAAAGUUUUCCUAGGUCUUCCUCUACCUUUUAGGCCCUGAACCUCUGUCCCGUAGUCGCAUCUUCUAACCGGAGCGUCAGUAGGCCUUCUUUGCACAUGUCCAAACCACCGUAACCGAUUUUCUCUCAAUUUUCCUACAAUUUCGGCUACUCCUACUUUACCUCGGAUAUCCUCAUUCCUAAUCUUAUCCUUUCUCGUGUGCCCACACAUCCAACGAAGCAUCCUCAUCUCUGCUACACCCAUUUUGUGUACAUAUUGAUGCUUCACCGCCCAACAUUCUAUGCCAUACAGCAUCGCCGGCCUUAUUGCCGUCCUAUAAAAUUUUCCCUUGAGCUUCAAUGGCAUACGGCGGUCACACAACACGCCGGAUGCACUCUUCCACUUCAUCCAUCCAGCUUGUAUUCUAUGGUUGAGAUCUCCAUCUAAUUCUCCGUUCUUUUGCAAGAUAGAUCCUAAGUAGCGAAAACGAUCGCUCUUUGGUAUUUCCUGAUCUCCGAUCCUCACCCCUAACUCAUUUUGGCCUCCAUUUGCACUGAACUUACACUCCAUAUAUUCUGUCUUUGAUCGGCUUAGGCGAAGACCUUUAGAUUCCAACACUUCUCUCCAAAGGUUAAGGUUCGCAUUUACCCCUUCCUGAGUUUCAUCUAUCAACACUAUAUCGUCUGCGAAAAGCAUACACCAAGGAAUAUCAUCUUGAAUAUGUCCUGUUAACUCAUCCAUUACCAACGCAAAAAGGUAAGGACUUAAGGAUGAGCCUUGAUGUAAUCCUACAGUUAUGGGGAAGCUUUCGGUUUGUCCUUCAUAAGUUCUUACGGCAGUCUUUGCUCCUUCAUACAUAUCCUUUAUAGCUUGGAUAUAUGCUACUCGUACUCCUUUCUUCUCUAAAAUCCUCCAAAGAAUGUCUCUUGAGACCCUAUCAUACGCUUUUUCCAAAUCUAUAAAGACCAUGUGUAAAUCCUUUUUCCCAUCUCUAUAUGUUUCCAUCAAUCUUCGUAAGAGAUAGAUUGCCUCCAUGGUUGAGCGCCCUAGCAUGAACCCGAAUUGGUUGUACGAAACCCGUGUCUCUUGCCUCAACCUAUGCUCAAUGACUCUCUCCCAGAGCUUCAUUGUAUGACUCAUUAGCUUAAUACCCCUAUAGUUCAUGCAAUUUUGUACGUCGCCCUUAUUCUUGUAGAUAGGCACCAAAGUGCUCUUUCGCCACUCAUUUGGCAUCUUCUUCGUUUUCAAAAUCCUAUUGAAAAGGUCAGUGAGCCAUGCUAUACCUAUCUUUCCCAAGACUUUCCACACUUCGAUCGGUAUAUCGUCUGGGCCCACUGCUUUUCUAUGCUUCAUCUUCUUCAAAGCUACAACCACUUCUUCCUUCCUGAUUCGACGAUAAAAGGAGUAGUUUCUACACUCUUCUGAGUUACUCAACUCCCCUAAAGAAGUACUCAUUUCAUGUCCUUCAUUGAAAAGAUUAUGAAAAUAACCUCUCCAUCUGUCUUUGACCGCGUUCUCUCUAGCAAGAACCCUUCCAUCCUCAUCCUUGAUGCACUUCACUUGGUUUAGGUCCCUUGUCUUCUUUUCCCUUGCUCUAGCUAGUUUAUAGAUAUCCAACUCUCCUUCUUUGGUAUUUAGUCGCUUAUACAUGUCGUCAUAAGCCGCUAACUUAGCUUCUCUCACAGCUUUCUUCGCCUCUUGCUUCGCUCUUCUAUACCUUUCACCAUUUUCAUCGGUCCUGUCCUUGUAUAAGGCUUUACAACAUUCCUUCUUAGCCUUCACCUUUGUUUGUACCUCCUCAUUCCACCACCAAGAUUCCUUUUGGUGUGGAGCAAAGCCCUUGGACUCUCCUAAUACCUCUUUUGCUACUUUUCGGAUACAACUAGCCAUAGAAUCCCACCUUUGGCUAGCUUCCCCCUCUCUAUCCCACCCACACUGGGUGAUUACUUUCUCUUUGAAAAUGGCUUGUUUUUCUCCUUUUAGAUUCCACCAUCUAGUCCUUGGGCACUUCCAAGUCUUGUUCUUUUUUCUCACUCUUUUGAUAUGUACAUCCAUCACUAACAAGCAAUGUUGAUUAGCCAAGCUCUCUCCCGGUAUAACUUUGCAAUCCUUACAAGUUAUACGAUCCCCUUUUCUCAUUAGAAGAAAAUCUAUUUGUGUUUUUGACGACCCACUCUUGUAGGUGAUCACAUGUUAUUCUCUCUUCUUAAAGAAGGUGCAAAAUUAAUACCUAGGAUCCGAAUCUUCAAAUCGCUGAUUGAAUCACAGGAUCAUGCAUGAUUGAUUACUGGACGUUCCAAUCCAUUAUUACGAAAAGUAGACGCUAAGAGUCCCAUUCGUCGUAUUUUCCUAAUAUGACUCGAAUUCUACUCCACAAUGAGGCUUCUGGACCAAGCUGGUUUAGUUGCACCGAGAUAUCCUCGAGUUCUCCAGACAAUAACAUGGCAGCAAAUAUGAGCAGAGCCACUAUUGAAACACCGACAGAAAUGAGAAAGAGGCCCCAAAAGCUUUCAAGGCUGAGACUAUUGGAAGAUAUCAGACUAUUGGGGUCUGCACAACUUGCUUGUUUCUUGAACCACUUGCGCUCAAUCACUUUCAUCUGGUCUCCCUCGGUCACAUUUAAGAUUGCCCUCGAAACAUCAUGACUAAGAGGCGAACCUUUUGGUAACACCUGCAAAUUACAAAAUCAAAGGAAAAAAAUGUUUGAAUAUAUAUAUAUAUAUAUGGGAGAACAUCAUAGAGACAAAAUCCAGAGAUAAGCAGGUUAACUUACAAAGGCAAAACCAUCGGCUUUAAAUGUUGGGUCCAUUGAAAUAUAUUUUGAGCAGUAUGUUGCAUGAAAAACUUUCACGUAGGGUUGUUCAUUGAAAGCUGCAGAAAUACCAUUAUUUCUGCUACCAUUGCGAAAAAGCUGGUUCAACUCUUCUGCGGAGUUAUAGGUCUUAAGAUUUUCAUCCCGAAAUCCCAUCUCUCUCAAAAUCUUGUAAACAAAAAAACCUGUUUGAUAGCCAACAUUGUGCCAUUGUUUAAGAGGAAGUUUACAUCAGUAACAGUUGGUUGGAGUUGUUGAACUGUUAAAAGAGAUGUUAAACUUGCAGUGUAACUUUGAACCACAAUGAGGACAACAAAGCACCAUAUGAUCACCACUAAUCUAGCCAAGUUGCUCACUAAUCGCUCCCCUGGUGCAAAAGGAACGAACAAUAUAGUUAGUAGUACAUUGUGGCAUUAUAAGUAUAAACAACACACUGUACAAUUUGGGAUUUACUUUUUCAGGCAUAUUUAUAAUGGAAGGCAUGGAAAAUGUUGAGCUACUCUGAAGAGAAAAAAUUGUUUCGGUUAGCUUUGCACUAAGAUAUAGAGUACCACCACUACCAAGAACUUACGGUGUGCAAAAACCAUGGUUGAGAAGGAGUACCAAAAGAUUGUGCCAAUUUGGUGAUUGCGAGGGCCACAAAAGUCUUCAUUAAUCCGAUGCUCAAGGACCCGACAACAAAACCAAUGAAUACAAAAGAACAAGCGCUUGUUAUCCAAAGGUCCCAUGUCAAGGGCUUCAAGAACACCCAUGCAUUCUUACUGUUGUUAUCUAUGAUUGGCACAAUCAUGGACACCCCAGAUUCUGUGAAUGGCAAUGUAAAAUCAACAUAUAAGGACAUGUUUCCUUUGAUGGUUAUAGAUCCUACUGCAGCAUCUGUUGAAGAUCAACACCAGCCCAAUUGGUGUUUGGAUUCUAGAAGAUUCUAGCAAGUAAUAUUAAGGUGGCCGGUGCAUGCUUGAAUAUGCUAGACAAUUCUAGCAAGCUAUUGUCAGUGAAGUGAUAUGCUAGAAAACUCUAGCAAAGUGCAGCAAUUGGUGGUAUAUUCAAGUCCACCGCCUUAUGCUUAAGAAAAUAUAAAAUGCUUUUGUUUGUGGAAGAAUCUAGAAACGUGUUGGCUGAAAUUGGAAGAACUCAAUCUCACCGACUAGGUAAGUCGGUUUAGCAAAAGAGAUGGAAAAGUGUGCAUGAUCAAUGCACUAGAAAAUUCUAGUGAAUGUAUAAGUCGGCAAACAUGCCCUAUAAAUAUGGGUGUGGUGUUGUAAGUUUGUAGCCAAGAAGAAGAAGGCAACCAAGUGAGAGUGAGAAGCAAGAAUAGUCUUGUGAGAAGUGUGAGUGGUCUAGAGUUUGUCUCUAGAAAGUGAGUGAGUGUCAUAGCUUCUCAAGUGUGUCCUUAAGAGUUUGUGUUGUAAUACUUUGUGAGUGUAAUACAAAUAAUUUGUUUACUUGUGUUGUCUCUCCAACACUUGUGUUAGAGUUGUGUACUCUAAGUUUUUUUCUCAACAAUUGGUAUCAGAGCGUUACGAUCGGGGACCGUCUUUAGUGAAGUUUUUGAGAAUCAUGAGAAGUUUAGUACUUCGCAAGAUUAUUCGUUAAUCUUGUUCGGCUUAUCAAAGUUCUACCGACACUAUGGGAGAUCUUCAAGUUGUUGGAGGAAUCAAGAAGUUAAACAACAAAAAUUACAACACAUGGGCGACGUGUAUGAAGUCUUACCUACAAGUCCAAGAUCUUUGGGAUGUUGUCGGUGGUCAUGAAGUUACACAACAGGAAGAAGACACCAACGGCAUUUUGAAGAAGUGGAAGAUCAAGGCAGGUAAGGCCAUGUUUGCCUUAAAAACCACAGUUGAAGAUGACAUGUUGGAGCACAUACGGAAGGCCAAGACACCAAAAGAAUCGUGGGACACCUUCGCCACACUCUUUUAAAAAAGGAAUGAUACAAGACUGCAGCUUCUUGAGAACGAGUUGCUAUCGGUGGCCCAAAGGGACAUGACGAUUGCCCAGUAUUUCCACAAGGUAAAGUCUAUUUGCCGUGAAAUUUCUAAAUUAGAUCCCAGUGCUGCCAUUGUAGAAUCCAGGAUAAAAAGAAUAAUUAUCCAUGGAUUGAGACCCGAAUAUCGAGGCUUCGUUGCCGCUGUACAAGGAUGGACGACCCAACCAUCAUCUGUUGAGUUUGACAAUUUGCUUGCCGAUCAAGAAGCUUUGACAAAGCAAAUGGGAGGGGUCUCGUUAAGAGGUGAGGAGGAAGCACUCUACACCAAAAGUAAAGGCAACUUUAAGCAACAUGUUGGUGGUGGAUCUAAAAGAAAUGGUGACAAGGAAAAAGGUCAUCAAUGAGGAGGGAGUUCUUGACUAGGGGGAGCUCCGAAGUUUCACGGCAACCAUGGUCAAUCCCAGAAUAAUAAAAGGUUUGAGGGCGAGUGUUACAAUUGUGGUAAGAAGGGUCACAUGGCGAAUGAGUGCUGGUUUAAAAGGCUUGCAGAAAGUAACGUCGCCAACUCAAAGAAGAAAAAUGAAGAUGAUUGGGACAUCAUUGCGUCUCUAGCCCUGGAGGAAGAAUGGGACGCUGGAGCAUCCGUUGCUAUGGAGAAGCAAGAGUCAGCUCUCACAGCAGCAAGUCUGGAGUCGAUUGACUACCAGAAUGAUUGGAUCGUGGAUUCAGGCUGCUCAAACCAUAUGACAGGUGAUGAGAAAAAGUUACAAAGUCUGACUAAGUACAAAAGAUGCGGCAUAAUGGUGACGGCUAACGACUCAAGGCUACCGAUUGCUCUCAUCGGUAAGAUAGUAAUUGAGCCCCGAUACAACACUAACCAUGUGCCGCUUCAAGAUGUCUACCAUGUUCCAGGUAUGAAGAAAAAUCUGCUUUCAGUGCUGCAUCUGACGUCAUUGGGAAAUUAUGUCUUGUUUGGUCCACGAGAUGUGAAGGUGUAUCGACACCUCAAGAUCUUAGGGACGCCAACAAUGGAGGGACGGCGACUGCAGUUAGUCUAUGUAAUGUCAGCAGAAACUGCAUACGUAGACAAGAUAAGGAAGAACGAGACAAAAGAUUUAUGGCACAUGAGAUUGGGUCACGUUAGCUAUCACAAGAUAAAUGUGAUGAUGAAGAAGUCAAUGCUUAAAGGGCUACCUCAACUUGACGUGAGAACAGACACAGUUUGUGCAGGAUGCCAGUAUGGUAAAGUACAUCAACUACCAUACGAAGAGUCGAAGUUUAAAGCGAAAGAGCCGUUGGAGUUGGUUCAUUCCGAUGUGUUCGGGCCUGUCAAGCAACCAUCGAUAAGUGGGAUGCGAUACAAGGUGACGUUCAUUGGUGACUUCUCCAGGUAUGUGUGGGUUUUCUUCAUGAAAGAAAAAUCUGAAACAUUUUCAAAAUUUAAAGAGUUUAAGGAGACAAUUGAAGGAGAAGUGGGAAAGAAGAUAUGUUGCAUACGCACGAAUAAUGGGGGAGAAUAUACCUCGAAUGAGUUUUCCCAGUAUCUACGAGAAUGUAGAAUACGUCACCAGUUCACUUGUGCCAACACGCCACAAUAGAAUGGCGUAGCAGAAAGAAAGAACCGGUAUCUUGUAGAAAUAUGUCGAAGUAUGCUCCAUGCCAAGAAUGUACCAGGAAGGUUUUGGGCCGAAGCUAUGAAAACUGCAAGUCAUAUGAUCAACAGGCUUCUUCAACCAAGGUUAGAAUUUGUCUCACCCUUUGAAAAACUGUGGGAUAUGAAACCUACAGUUAGUUACUUUCGAGUAUUUGGCUGUGUGUGCUACGUAUUUGUUCCAAGUCACCUACGUAGCAAGUUUGACAAGAAGGUAGUUCGAUGUAUCUUUGUGGGAUACGACAGCCAAAGAAAAGGGUGGAAAUGUUGUGAUCCUAUGACUGGAAGGUGUUACACAUCAUGAGAUGUGGUGUUUGAUGAAACAUCUUCUUGGUGGUCUUCAGAAAAAUAGGCAUUGCCUGAUUCGAGAGAGAUUGAAGAUAAGCUGCAACAGAAGAUGGGGGAGAAAAUUGUUCGAAUCCAGUCGAAACCAGAUGAGUCUGAAGAUUCACUUGAUGGUGAUGGUGUUGAGCAAGUAGUGCCCCAAAAUCCUUGGCAAGCUGACGUAUAUCAACAACCAGAAGAAGAUAGACCUAGUGAAGUGGAAGUAUCAACUCCACAAUCACAACUAAAGAGGUCAACAAGAAUCCGGAAGCAAAAUCCUAAAUAUGUCAACGCAGCCAUAGAAGAAGAAGCAGCUGAACCUGAGUGGUUCAAAGUUGGGAGAAGAGGUCACUGCAGCGGAGCUAAAUCAAGCUUGGAAUCUAGCACCAAAGCAAAGAGAUGUGAAACCCAUAUCAUGCAAAUGGGUGUGCAAGAAAAAGCUUCGUCGUCAAUUCGGCAUGGAGGAAAGAAUGAGCUGGUGUUGAGGGGGAGUGUUGAAGAUCAACACCAGCCCAAUUGGUGUUUGGAUUCUAGAAGAUUCUAGCAAGUAAUAUUAAGGUGGCUGGUGCAUGCUUGAAUAUGAUAGACAAUUCUAGCAAGCUAUUGUCGGUGAAGUGAUAUGCUAGAAAACUCUAGCAAAGUGCAACAAUUGGUGGUAUAGUCAAGUCCACCGCCUUAUGCUUAAGAAAAUAUAAAAUGUUUUUGUUUGUGGUAGAAUCUAGAAACAUAUUGGCUGAAAUUGGAAGAACUCAAUCUCACCGACUAGGUAAGUCGGUUUAGCAAAAGAGAUGGAAAAGUGUGCAUGAUCAAUGCACUAGAAAAUUCUAGUGAAUGUAUAAGUCGGCAAACAUGCCCUACAAAUAUGGGUGUGGUGUUGUAAGUUUGUAGCCAAGAAGAAGAAGGCAACCAAGUGAGAGUGAGAAGCAAGAAUAACUUGUGAGGAGUGUGAGUGGUCUAGAGUUUGUCUCUAGAAAGUGAGUGAGUGUCAUAGCUUCUCAAGUGUGUCCUUAAGAGUUUGUGUUGUAAUACUUUGUGAGUGUAAUACAAGUAAUUUGUUUACUUAUGUUGUCUCUCCAACACUUGUGUUAGAGUUGUGUACUCCAAAAUUUUUCCCCAACAGCAUCAUAGUUCUAUCAAUAAAAAAUGCCACUGUUAGUAAAGAAAUGUGAUUUUGUUUAGAAUAUGUCUUACCCCAAGAUAUACUUGAUCGACCAAGUCAUCAUAACUGCCAGCAGCCUCACCAUUAGACGUUGCAUAGGGAUGAAGAUCGUAAGGUACAUCAUAUGGUAACACUUUUAUUACAGCUUCAAAGACGUCUAUGCAGUAUCCACCAUUGAUAGUGGUUUUCUUAGUCCUAGGGUAUUGUGUCACAAUUAAAAAUUCAGAAAACGCUGUGUUUCCCGGGACUAUAAUUUUCAGCCGUUUCUGUUCACUUGUAGGAAUCUGCCAACCCUUUGGAGCAGAUGUGGUGUCUCCAGGCCAUAUAAUUGAUCGGAGACCAACAACAUUAGGUGUAGGAUAUUUGCUUUUCUUUGUGGAAUUGAAAUUUCUCUGAAGUCCAUUUUGAGGUGUCCAAUAUCCAACCAAAAUUUCCCCAUUUCCAAAGACAUUAACUAUCUGAAAAGUUGAUGGUUGCAGUUCGCCGUUAAGAAGACUGAAAUCUCCUAAAAGGCCUUUGAAACUUGUAGCUAGUAAUGCUUGGACAAGUUUUAAUGAUGGUUGCAGUUCGCUGUCAACAUAGAUGGGCACUACUUCUCUCCGACCAAAAGUUUUAAUGAUGGCACUUAUGGCUUUCACUUGGGAUGAGUCAUUUAGUGUUGCUCUGAAAAAAUAUUCACUCCGAAUUGAAGUAAGAGUUGGACUUGUUGCUGAAUAUGAAAUUAUGGGUACUUGGGCUUUGUCUCCAAGGCUGAUUACGAAGUUGGUCUGCCUUGAUGAUUCAGGUCCUAUGAUGGCUUGCACUCUAGCAUUCUUUAUAAGGUCUAAAGCUGUUAAUUUGAAAAUGAAAAUGACAAUGGAGAAUUGAAUUAAAAUAUGAUGUAGUUUCGAACUUUAAGAGCUCUAUCAGAGUCAGUAUACAAAAAAGUAAAUCACCAACUUAAUUGUUAUGCGGACUUUUCAUAUACCAACUGACGUAACAAUAUUUAAUUUGUUUAUGCUUGAAUUCACAAGUACACAACAAAAAAGAAAAUAUCACAUCAAUUGGUAUCCAAAAGUUCGGAUAAAUAAGUACUAUUGAAAAAAUUAAUAAAUCAGAUUUCUAAGAAAAUGAAAUUCAAUCCAACAGGAUUCUAAGUUUCUAAUCAUUGACAGCCGAAGAAGAUAAGAAGAUUUGAUUAGUGGAACAAAAUAUGAUACAGAACAAGAAUACCAACUCACAAGAAAAAAGACAAGAUGAAAAUUACCAGCAGAAGCUGUGACAACAACAUCGAAAGGCGAUUUCCUUUUGUGCAAAACAAGCCUUGUCUUGUAGGCAGAUUGAGAGGCAUAGAAGUCAGAGACGGCCAUGCUAAUGCAGCUCAGUAGCAUCUUCCCAGAUUUGGUAUCAGAGUUAACUGUUGGAUAGUAGCCAAAAUUAGUGGCCAACUUGCAAAUACUUUUUGAUUAAAUAAAAGAAAAGAAAAGGUGGACAACCCUUCUUUGUUUUGGAGAAAAGAAAAAGGCACAUUGUCUAAAGUCCUUUUUAUUUGGCCCUUUGUGAAAGCCACAUGAUAGUGGCUAGGUUUUAAUUAGGACAGCAGCUGCCAUUUGGGAAGAGUAGCAGAAAAAUAAAGGCAGCAGCAGAGAAGACAAAUUAGAAGUGCAGCAGCCCCUCUUUGAAGAGAAGAAGAAAGUGCUCCUCUCUUUGGUUAGUAAUCAUCCACCAAGGUAGUUGUUGUUGUAAUAGCUUUGAGCUUUGUAUAGAGAAGAAAUUAUUCACAAUAUUUCUUUCUCUAUUUGUUUCUUUGGUGUGUGAGAGCUAUUGGUUGUAUUGGGGUUUUUGGGUUGUGAGCUUGCCAACACUUUGUAAACUCCCAUUUGGUUGAGAGUGGAUUAUUGGGUGAGCUCCUACUGCUCCGAGGACAUACUCCAGUUACACUGACUGUUGAGGAACCUCGUUAAAAUCUUGGUGUCUUUUAUAUUUUGAUCUUGCAUUCCAUUUGAUAUAUUUCCUGUGGGUUAGCUUGAGUUGGUUCCAAUUGGUUUGGUGCUAUCCUAGCACAACAAUUGGUAUCAGAGCACUGGUUGCUCUUGGGUACUGUCUAGUUGCCAAAGAUGUCAGACGGACAAGAUGAGAAUCCUUUUGGAAGCAACUCCGGGUUUGCAAGAACUACGGUGCAAAAUGCAAAGUUCAAAGUGGAAAAAUUUGAUGGCACAAACAACUUCGGGAUGUGGCAAUGUGAGGUCAAAGAUGUGUUGGCUCAACAAGAUCUACUUGCUGCUUUCGGAGAGAAGCCGGAAGCUAUGUCGAAGCCGGAAUGGGGGAAAUUAAAUUUGUGGGCUUGCUCUUCAAUUCGGUUGUGCCUUGCAAAAACUCAGAAGUAUUUUGUGAUGUGGGAGACAGUAGCAAGUGUGUUGUGGAAAAAUUGGAAGACAAGUAUAUGACGAAGAGUGCAGAGAACCGGCUACACUUGAAGAAAAGCUCUACCGCUUCCAAUACAAAGAAGGUACAAAAAUGAUUAGACACCUUGAUGCUUUUAAUAAGUUGAUUGCCGACUUGUUAAAUUUAGAUGAGGAUAUUAAGGAUGAAGAUAAAACCUUAAUAUUGUUGAAUUCCUUGCCGGAUUCUUAUGAACAUUUUGCUACCACUAUUAUGCAUGGUAAAGAAACUGUGAAAUUUGAAGAUGUGUCAAAUGCCUUGAUGAAUUAUGAAAUGAGACAUAGAGAUAAAAAUCAUAAUAGUACCUCUGAAGCUUUAUUUGUUAGAGGUAGAUCAUCGGAGAGGCGAUCAUCUUCUAGUAGGAAAAAAUCACACUCUCGACCUAGAGGAAACUCUAAAGGUAGAAAACCUUGGAAAUGGAUGAAUGUGCAUUUUGUCAUAAUAAGGGCCAUUUGAAGAAAGAUUGUCCUAGGUUGAAGACCAAAGGCAAAGAAAGUUCUGAAGCUAAUGUUGUUGAGGUUGAAAUAGAUUUUUCUGAUUUUGUUUUAACCACUUCCUCAUCAUUUGAUUGUGCUACUAAGUGGGUGUUGGAUACGGGUUGUACUCAUCAUAUGACUCCUCAUAAGGAUUGGUUUUCAAGCUUGAAAGAGUUUGAUGGUGGUGUUGUUUUCAUGCGAGAUGACAAUCAUUGUACAACAAAAGGGAUUGGUACAGUUCAUUUGAAGUUGCAUGAUGGCAUGGUUAAAGAGUUGACAGGUGUUCGUUAUGUAUCGAAUUUGAAGAAAAAUCUUAUUUCUUUGGGCACUUUAGAAUCCAAAGGCUUCAAGUUUCAUUCAGAUGGGUAGACAUUGAAAGUUACUUAUGGUGCACUUGUUGUGAUGAAAGCUCCUCGAUGUGGUCAUUUGUAUCUAUUGCAAGGAAGCACUGUGACAGGUGAAGUGUCUGUAGUCUCAAAAAAUAUGGGCACAUCUGAUUCAGAUACUACUAGACUAUGGCAUAUGAGAUUAGGCCAUGCCGGUGAGAAAGCUCUACAAGGGCUUGUGAAAAAAGGUAUUCUAAAAGGUGCCACGACUUGUAAACUUGAUUUCUGCGAGCAUUGUGUCUUGAGGAAGCAAACUAGAGUGAAGUUUAGUACUGUAGUACAUCAGACGAAGAGCAUUCUUGAUUAUGUGCAUUCGGAUGUUUGGGGUCCUGCAAAGACUCCCUUUUUUAGUGGUAGACAUUGGUUCGUGACCUUCAUUGAUGAUUAUUCAAGAAGGUCUUGGGUCUACACUGUGAAGCACAAGAGUAAGGUAUUAAGCAUUUUCUUGAGUUGGAAGAAAAUGGUUGAGAACCAGACUGGGAAAAAGAUUAAGAUUUUGAGAUCGGAUAAUGGUGGUGAAUACACAUCCGACCCUUUCUUUAAAGUUUGCAAAGAGGAAGGGAUUGUGAGGCAUUUCAGUGUUUGGGGAACUCCACAGCAAAAUGGAGUUGCAGAAAGAUUGAAUCGAACCUUGCUUGAGAAGGUUAGAUGUAUGUUGUCUCAGUCGGGUUUAAGCAAGUCAUUUUGGGCAGAGGCAGUUAAUUAUGCAUGUCACAUCAUCAACCGGUUACCCUCAACUGCUGUUCAGGGUAAGACACCAAUGGAGGUAUGGACUGGAAAACCUUAUUCGGAUUAUGACUAUAUUCGUAUUUUUGGUUCACCUACUUAUUUUCAUGUGACUGAAAAUAAACUUGAUCCUAGAGCCAAAAAGGCUAUCUUUCUUGGUUUUAGUAGUGGUGUCAAAGGUUACCGAUUGUGGUGCCCAGAGAUGAAGAAACUUGUAAUCAGUAGAAAUAUGACAUUUGAUGAAGAAAGUAUGUACAAAGACUCUGAGAAGAAUGUGAAAGAUGUCCAACAUGUGGAGCUUGAGAAAGUUGCCUCUGGUACUUCAAAUCCUAUUUUCGCUGAUGUCGAAGCCACUACAAGUGAAGAAGUUGGAGACCAUGAAGAUGUUGAAGAAGUUGAACUUGAAGAUUCUAUUUAAGUUGAAGAGCAAGUUUCACCUCAAGAGUCUAUGGCCAAGAACAGAGGAAAGAGACAAAUUACCAAGCCAGCUCGGUAUAGUGACUAUGUUGCUUUUGCUCUUCCUGUUAUCAUUGAUGAUAUUUCAUCCAAUUUCGAGAAAGCCAUUGAAAGUGAGAAGGAGAAGUGGUGCAAUGCCAUGGGUGAUGAGAUGAAUUCUCUCUUGAAGAACAAGACUUGGGAGUUAGCUAAAUUGCCUAAGGGCAAGAAAGCUAUCGGUUGCAAAUGGGUGUAUGCCAAGAAGGAAGAUGCUGAUGAGAAAAUCAAUGUGAGAUUCAAAGCAAGAUUAGUUGCUAAAGGGUAUGCACAAAAAGAGGGCAUUGACUACAAUGAAAUCUUUUCUCCGGUUGUGAAACACUUCUCAAUUCGCAUUAUGUUAGCUCUUGUUGCACAGUAUGAUCUUGAGCUUGUGCAACUUGAUGCGAAGAUGACUUUCCUACAUGGUGAUUUGAAUGAAGAGAUCUAUAUGUGUCAACCAGAUGAGUGUACAGUGAAAGGGAAGGAGAAUUUGUUUUGCAAGUUGAAGAAAUCACUUUAUGGCUUAAAGCAAUCUCCAAGACAAUGGUAUUUGAGGUUUGAUAAAUUUAUGAGAGGCCAAAAUUAUUCUAGAAGUCAAUAUGAUCAUUGUGUGUACUUCAAGAAGUUGUAAGAUGGAUCUUUCAUUUAUUUGUUGAUAUAUGUUGAUGAUAUGUUGAUUGCCUUAAAGAAUGUCGAAGAGAUUAAGAAAUUGAAGAAGCAAAUGAAGAAUGAGUUUGAGAUGAAGGAUCUUGGUGAAGCGAAGAAGAUCCUUGGCAUGGAGAUCACUAGAGAUAGAGAGAAGGGUUUGGUCAGUUUGAAUAAAAAACAAUACCUUGAGAAGUUGAUUCGGAAGUUUGGAGUUCAUGAUUCAACCAAACCGGUUAGUACCCCUUUGGCUUCUCAUUUUAAAUUGAGUUCUCUACAAUGUCCUAAAACUGAUAAAGAGAAGCUGCAAAUGAAAAAUAUACCAUAUGCAAAUUUGGUUGGUAGUUUGAUGUAUGCAAUGGUAUGCUCUAGACCGGAUAUUGCUUAUGCAGUUGGCAUGGUGAGUCGGGAAAGAGCAUUGGCAAUCAGCUAAGUGGAUAUUGAGGUAUCUCUAUGGUACUCGAGACGUUGGUUUAUGCUUUGAGAGAGAUGACUCUGGUAUUGGUCAUUUUGCAGUUGGUUAUGUUGAUUCAGAUUAUGCAGGUGAUCUGGAUGGAGGAAAGUCUACUACAUGCUAUGUGUUUACUAUGGCUAAAGGGCCAGUUUGUUGGAGGUCCAUUUUGCAGUCGUCUGUUGCCUUGUCUACUACAGAGGCUAAAUAUAUGGUAGUUGCUGAAGCUAUAAAAGAGGCCAUUUGGAUACAUGGGCUAAUUAGAGAUUUGGGGGUUGAUCAGACACAGGUGGAGGUACAUUGUGAUAGUCAGAGUGCCAUUUAUUUGGCUAAGUAUCAGGUUCAUCAUGCGAGGACCAAGCACAUAGAUGUGCAUUAUCACUUUGUGCGCGAAGUCGUUGGUGAAGGAGAGAUCAUUCUCCAGAAGAUUCCAACUAAAGAUAACCCUGCUGAUAUGUUGACUAAGGUUGUUGGUGUAGCCAAGUUUGUUCACUGUUUGAACUUGGCUCACAUUUUGCCUAUAUAAAGAAGGCGUUAAGCAAUAUGAGUUUUGGAGCAUUUGACUCGACAUGAGUUGUUCUCUUGCUAGUGUUGGGGAGUGAUUUUUAUUGUUGAUUGUGUUGGUUGGCUUAUCAUGAUGUUUUUAGAAUUUGGCCAAGGUGGAUAUUGUUGGAUAGUGGCCAAAAUUAGUGACCAACUUGCAAAUACUUUUUGAUUAAAUAAAAGAAAAGAAAAGGUGGACAACAUCAUUGUGUCCCUUCCUUGUUUUGGGGAAAAGAAAAAGACACCUUGUCUAAAAUCCUUUUUAUUUGGCCCUUUGUGAAAGCCACGGGAUAGUGGCUAGGUUUUAAUUAGGGCAGCAACUGCCAUUUGGGAAGAGUAGCAGAAAAAUAAAGGUAGCAGCAGAGAAGAAAAAUUAGAAGUGCAGCAACCCCUCUUUGAAGAGAAGAAGAAAGUGCUCCUCUCUUUGGUUAGUAAUCAUCCACCAAGGUAGUUGUUGUUGUAAUAGCUUUGAGCUUUGUAUAGAGAAGAAAUUAUUAACAAUAUUUCUUUCUUUAUUUGUUUCUUUGGUAUGUGAGAGCUAUUGGUUGUAUUGGGGUUUUUGGGUUGUGAGUUUGCCAACACUUUGUAAACUCCCAUUUGGUUGAUAGUGGAUUAUUGGGUGAGCUCCUACUGCUCCGAGGACGUACUCCAGUUACACUGACUGUUGAGGAACCUCGUUAAAAUCUUGGUGUCUUUUAUAUUUUGUUCUUGCAUUCCAUUUGAUAUAUUUCCUGUGGGUUAGCUUGAGUUGGUUCCAAUUGGUUUGGUGCUAUCCUAACACAACAUUAACGACCAUACCCACAUUAACUGGGAUAGUCUUAGUGCGUUUUGCUGUGGCCAGGAAAGUAGUCGUAAGCAAUAAGAACAAUAAGAGAGAGAAAAUGGGGUUGCAGCUAGCAUUGAUGGUCAUGUUUGACAUUCUUCAAGCUUAAUAUGCAAUUGAUGGAAUCAAGUAACAACCGAAUCUUGUUUAUGUAGAACUUGAUAGAAGGUAAAGAUUAUUAAUUAUGAAUAACAAAUAGAAGUAAAAGAAGAAUCCACAAAUUUUAUGUUAUAUAUGUAUUUAGUUUUGCUGCUGUCAAUUCAAUGAUUCAAAUGGCAAGUCAUUUUCAGUACAAGUGGUAUCAAAAGAGAGAUUAAUUUGAACACAGGAUUUCAAGUGCAUGGGUGAAUUUUUUAAAUCAGCUAAGCUAAAAGUCUCUUGUUAAAGUUGUGAAUGUUUGGCUCAUUAGAUGUAAAAUUUGAAUUUCCCAAUAGAUGGGGGUGGGACACGGUGUCUAAAAUUUGAAGUGUGGAACAGUUUUGGCUCCUUUGAUGAUUAGAAUUGGAUUUGAUUGGCUGUUAAGCUAUAUUGAAGAAAGAAUUGCUGGUAGAGGUGCAAGAUUUUUCAUUUGUGGAUUAGACAAGAAAAGUUAUAAGGUGUUGAUAUCUUACCGUUUUGGAGGGUUUAAAAGGAAUCAAUUUCCUCUAUGAGUAAUUCAUUUUUUACCUUCCACUUGGACAGUCCAAUCUAAUUUUAGACACCAAACGAACGCUAUGAUUUAUCAUUUGUCUUAUUUCUAUCGUCGGUCUAACUUAGACUAAUUCAAGCGAUAAUUGUAUGGUCUUAUAUGAUAUAUAUGUUUAAUUCUUUGUAACUAUGCAUACAAUUAAUGAGUAAUGGUACAAGCAUUCUUCUUUACAAUAGCAUUACUUGAGAAACAAGGAUAUGAAUAACUUGGAAGUAAAGGGAAAAAAAAAAGCACAUGUGAAAUUGCUAGGUCUACAGAAUGUUUUUGUUAAUACAAAAUUGAGAGGGGCUUGGGAGUCAGCUACCUAGAGAAACAAAGACGAAUGAUCAACCUGAAUUUUAAUUUGUAAUUUUAUCUAACUUCUGCGCAACUACAUAAUAGUGGACUUUAUAUAUAGAAUUUGGAUUGAUCGACUCCAAGAAACAUUAAUGGAAUUCUUCAAUUAACUAAGAGCUUAACUGUGAAAAGAAUGCAUUUCAUCAGUGGCUGGAAACAGCGCAUAAACACAGAUUAUAUAGAAAUUGUGAUGAUGCUAUGCCCGAAUGAUAUAUUUAAGUUUUCUGUCACUCGUUCAGUGAGUCAACUGCGAGUUGUCAAUGUUUUUCAUUAGAGGAGGGGGACUCUUACACAGUACCUUAGCUACAAGCAGGGCCGGUCCUGAGAUUUUAGAGACUCUGUGCAGGAUCCAAACGGGGGCCCUUACAUGGCCUAAAAUUUUGGUUGCUAUAUUUUCUUUUAUACUUUUUAUUUUUUAUGUGUAUAAAUUGAUAUAACGCACAAGAAAAUAAAUAAAAAUGAAACAUGGUGUGUUGGGUUUGUGUAUCUAUAUGCAUCCCUUAUGUUUUUGGGUUUGAAACUCUUUACUUUUUAAUAGAAAAAGCAUGGUAUGGUGGAUAUAUACUUAUCAUAUCACCGUUCAAAUAUUAUUAAUUAAAAAUAAAUGGUUAAAUUCAUAAUUAAAAAUAAAUGCAUCCAUUCGUAUUUAAUAAUUGUAAAUAUAGGCAAGCACGGACUCGAACUCGUGCACAGGUAGAUAGCAAAAGCAGCGCCUGCCAAACCGGCUAUGACUGCUUUAUUUAAUAUGCUCACGUUUAUGGUAUAUAUCUAGUAUAUUUCAAAGGUUAUAUAUUAAAUUUAGGGGCCUCGAAAAAACGGAGGCCCUGUGCGGUUGCACUCCUCGCACCCCCACAAGGCCGGCCUUGGCUACAAGCCCCUAUAUAUCGCUCAAAGUUGUCCAUGUUUGACAGCUAAGAAUAUUAGAUUCUUCAAGGAAAAUAUUGGCAGGGAUAAAAGUUGACUUUCCCCAUCAAUGGGAGUCGGAUUCGGUGACUGAAAUCAGUCUGAAACAUUACGUGUUGUCAUUUUUCAUAUAUUCUAUCACCAAGUCUAGCUUUGACUAAAUCAAAUGAUCAUUUCCGUUCAUUGUAUGGUUUGGUAUGAAUGAUAUAUAUUUUUUAUUAUUGGUACCUUUCCGUGCAAGUUAUGAAUAAUGGUACAAGCAUACUUCUUUACCAAACCCCUCAUUAUUCAAUCGGUUCACAUAAACUUGCUGAAAACCUAGCAAUUACUUGAGAAAUAAGGAUAUGAACAACUUGAAAUUGCUAGGUUUUCAGCAAGUUUAUGUGAACCGAUUGAAUAAUGAGGGGUUUGGAUGUACGUACCUAGAGAAACAAGAAUGUUGGUCAAGUUGAAAUUUAAUUUGUAUUUUUCCCAGUUAGCUAGCUAGUGUGUACAACUACAUAUCAGUGGACUUUAUAUUUGGAAUUUGAAUCGAUCAACUCAGAGGCAUUAAUGGAAUUCUUCAACUAAGAAUUUUAUUGCGAAAGGAAUGCAUUCGAUCAGUGGCUGAACAAAGCAAAUAAAAACAGAUUUUAUAGAAACUGUGAUCACGAUAUUGUUGUGCUCGUUGAUAAACCACAUUUGAAUUCUGCAUCUCCUGCCACAGCCAAGAUGCCACAGCAGCCACAAGACUGAUGGAAUAUCCUCAAUUAAGCCUUUUCCGCAGACUAAUCUUUUGGGCUGGUGAAUUCGUUCAACGUUUGUUGAAUUUCGAAUGUAAAUUUUGUUUUGUAUCAUCUGUUUGGUUUUGAAGAGUUUGUUCUUCAUCCGAACUCUCAUUUUAAUUUCCUAGAUAUACUUGAAUACAAGACUACUCAAACCAUCGAGCAAUAUUGUUUCAUGGUAUCAUCCUCACCUAGCAUCACGACAAAUUAUCCCCUCACCAUGGCAAAUUCUGCUGCACCCUCUCUUUGCAGUGUCUCUCACUUUUUGCUUCUUAAACUCGACCACCACAAUGACCCCGUUUGGAAAAUUCUGCUGCACCCUCUCUUUGCAGUGUCUCCACAUUUUGCCUCUUAAACUUGACCGCCACAAUUACCCCGUUUGGAGGGCCCAGUUAAUCCCCUAAUCCCUUUGCUACGCAGUCGUAACCUUCUUCCAUUUGUUGAUGGAACAUCUCAGUGUCCUCCUGCAUUUCUGUAUUUCUUCUCAACGCUAAAUGACAACUCACUGAUGAGAUCAAUCCCCUCUUCGAACCCUGGAUUCAGGAUCAAAUGGUCCUCUAGUGGCUGAUGAAUUCACUACCACCACUUGUGAUGAAUGUGAUUGUUAAAUGCAUCAGUGCUGCUGAAGCCUUGAAGAGCCUUCCUCUCACAACCGUGUCAUUCAACAAGGUCAACUUCUCAAUCUCCGUCAAGGUGAUCUCUAUAUUGCUGAUUUUUAGGAGUCUUGCCGGCUUGAAUGGAAGCCCUUGUGUUUUCAUGGGUGAGCCAGAAAGAGCUAGUUGGUCAGUCAAAGUAUUUAUCCUGUCCAAAAAAUCAGCGAUACAGAGACCCCCUCGAGGGAGAUUGAGAAGUUCAGUUGAAUAACACGGUUGUGUGAGGAAGGAGCGUAUCGGUCUUGAAAAGCCUUCAUGCUUUAGAAGCACUGAUGCAUAUUACAAUCACAUGCAAAGCCUUCAUGCUUUAGAAGCACUGAUGCAUUAUACAAUCACAUGCAUCACAGAUGGAGACAGUGAACUCGUCAGCCACUAGAGGACCAUCUGAUCCUGUUGGAUUCAGGGUUCGAUCAGCUGUGAGUUGUCCUUCAGCGUCGAGAAGAAAUGUAGGAGGACAAUGAGAUGUUCCAUCGACAAAGUGAAGAAGACUAUGACUGCGUGGCAAGGGGAUGAACUGAGCCCUCCAGAGGGAGUAAUUGUGGCGGUCAAGUUUUAGAGGCAAAAAGUGACAGCUCGGAAAGAGAGGGUGUAUCAGAAUUUGCCAUGGUGAGGGAAUAAUUUGUCGUGAGACUAGGAGAGGAUGAUACCAUGAAAGAAUAUUGCUCAAUGGUUUGAGCAGUCUUGUAUUCAAGUAUAUAUAGGACUUUACAAUGAGAGUUUGGAUGAAGAACAAACUCUUCAAAACCAAACAGAUAUUAACAGAUAAUACGAAACAAAAUUUACACUUGAAAUUCAACAAACUUUGAACGAAUUCAACAACCCAAAAGAUUGGUCUCUUGAGAAGUCUGCGGCAAGGGCUUGACUCAGGAUAUUCCAUCUGUUGUGGCUGCUGUGGCAUCUUGGCGGUGGCGGGAGAUGCAGAAUUCAAAUAUGGUCCAUCAAAACUUUAAUUCUUACCAGGGUCAUGCAUAUACAGCAUAGUCUCUUUCAUUACAUGUAUAUUCAACAAAACUUUUUUGGGGUAGGCCACAUCCAAACCUUGAACACAACAGAUUUUUUUUGUUUCGUCUCUUUCAUUGCAGAGAAUAAGAAGGCGACAGCUGCUGUCCUCUCCCAGCUUGUAGGUUUCUCUCUCACGGCCUCUACAAAUUGAUAUCUCGAAUGAUCGUAUGAUUUAUUUUACUCCCCGCUUGAUCGUUCGUAAUCUCAAUCUGAAGGAUGUUUUUUUUUUCUAAUAUGAAAACAAACAAAUGAUAAAAUUGACGUCACCAGCAAAACUGAGUUCGAGAGAGAGAAAACAAAUUUACUCUCCUUUUAACCACUUCCUUCUGUGCUCGUAUUUGAUACCUUCUAAGUGUACAUUUGACCAUAUCGUUGAUUAGUUUUAACUUAUAUAUAAUUUGUACUACCAUCAAAUCGAGAUAAAACACCGUUUUCCUAACCCUUCUAGGCUUAGGAAAAAAUGGAUUAGCAAGUGUGUAGCUGGGCUAUGCAAUUUUGGUUCUAAUAUGUACUUGAUCUCCACCCUGUUUUUUGGUUAUUUGCAGACAUUGGUCCAUCGUCAACCAUGUCUACUCAGAGGCGCUAUUUUGUUAGUGAGGUGUUUCAACUUUCAAAGGGAAGCAAGUACUCAGCCCGUCCCCGACUAUGAACCUCGCAUGGACGACAUACAUUGUAGUUUCAGACCUCGGCUUCUGUUCAAAUUUCAGCUAUCCAAGGCAACCGGUUGCAACCAAUCUUAAGAUAAUGAUGAUAUUACUCCAUUCUUAAGAUUUUACAGUCUAGCGAGGGGUAUGGACCGUAUGGUAGAAGGGGUCUUUUGAACGGUUUCUGCGUGUAUGCGUAUCCCAGAAAAUGAGCAUAUUAUCGCACACAUAUUUCAAGCGCUUGAGCGAGAGGACCUCCCUUUGCCCCCGUUAUUAAUUGUGGUCAUACGGGAAGUGGCCAUGCAGUCGCGUAAUAGUACGGUAGUGAUCAUCUUGAAACUGAUCAAGUGAUCGUUGAACGUGUUACGAUGGUAUUGAUGGAAAGACACGGACUGAAGCUUAUUCCUGCUUCUAAAUCAUUCAUUCAGGGUCUUGAGAUAGUCGAAUUAAUGGUUUGGAAGCCUCACAAAAGAUAUCCCCUAAUACAUGCGUUAUUUUUAUGGAGGGUGUUGGAAGGGAUAUUGUAAUGACUCAAAAUUCUUAUUUUGAAGUUAAAUCCGGUGAUAGGCCAAAAUAAAAUCAUGGUUAACCUCUACGCUAUUAACCGUAAUAAAUUUCUUUCCUUAAAAGAAAUCCAACACAAUAUUAAAUUUGGGUUAUUUUAUGGUUGCAUCUAAUCUUUGUGUUAGACUGCCUACGUACCCUACGAAGGGAUCAAACCAUUCGUAGUUCACAUUAUGCUUCCAGAACAAUAUACUAAAAUUUCAUCACGAUCCAACGGUCGACUCUAUGCCAAUCAAGAAUUCAAGUGGCGGUCGACGUUUUAUUUUACGAACUUACAAAUCCAAUUCGGGAAGAUUUGUACCUCAGAUUCCCGAUCCGUAAGUUUCUAGUAUCUUCAAAUAUUACGUACUAUAAUGUAUUAGAGUUUUGUGACGAUCCAACGGUCGGAUCAUCGAUUCAUAUAUUGACCAAGUAACAUAUCGUAGUGAAUUUAGGUUCAAACGAUCAACCUACGUCAUACGAAUAUCAAAAAUGAAUUUAGGACAUCUAAUUUAGCCUAAAAAUAGUAUUGAAAGCCCUUUGGCCACGCGCCGCCGUGGGUGGCGGUCGGCCGCUCCGACUCAUCAGAAAAUUUUAACUAUUUCUAAAAAUUCUCAAAUUUCACAAAAAUGAAGAUCUCAAUGAUUAGAGGAAAUUUUAUACUUGUGGCCAAGUCCAAUUUGGCCUGGAAAAGCUCCAAUUCACUCGCACCCGUCGGAAACCCUAGAAUGGGUGUUCGUCGAUUCACCACCUCUGGUGCUCCGUCGGCCCUACAACUGAUUCGUCUAUGUUCUAGGCCUCAAGAGGAGUCUAAUGGUUAAUUGGUGGAAAACGUUUCACAAUGGUGGAUCACCGCUGAGCUCACUCGAACCCGUUGGUGGAAUCCCUCUCAAAAUCAUGGCCAAACACUUCAAGUUUGGUUGAAAUUGGAUGGGAAAGUGGCAGGGGAAUGAUUGGGUAGUGGUGGGGAGCUUUUGAUUGCUCGGAGAACACCACGAGGGCGUCAGAAAUGGAUGCCGGCCGAAUCGGGUUGGGGUGAAGAAACGGGUCCAAGGGAAAGAUGUUUUUGUUGGGUGUUACUUCUUCCUCUCCUUUUCCCUCCCAGUUCCCCUUUCCCAUUGGUCCCCCUUUCCCUCCUUUUCUCUCCCGCAACCUUCUCUUCCUCACAGCCACACAUGUGGCAUCAUCCCAUUGCUCCAACUUUUCUGGAGCCUUCCAAAUUAAGGGUAAAAUGCCUAUUUUGCCCUCCAUUUCAAUCGUUAAUAACUUCUUUGUUAUAAUUCCGUUUCACGAACGGUUUUUGCCUACGUGCUCGUAGGAUCGAUCUCUAUCUGAAUAUGUCAAGAAACAUGACAAAAUAUAUGAGGAUAAAAUACGUUCUCGUAAAAUUACGUUUAGUUAACCAAAGGGCAUUUUCGUCUUUUCCCCUUAUCAAUAAUUUUUUUUCCACAAAUCAUAUAUUUAAAAUUUGGGUAUUAUAGAUAUCCGCACACAACUCUCUCCUGCGUGAGUGAUGGACUCGUGUUAAUUUGACGUAGCCUUAGCAAAGCCUUGAGUAGGCUCUUAGGUUUUCUUACAAGAUUGAUUGUUUUAGGCGUGCCCCUACUGGCCAAGAUUAACAAAUUGUUUAGUUUUUAAAUGUUGUAUAGGACAUUUGUUUGCGCCACAAGUACUUUAUAUUUCUCUUGUAUUCAAUGCCAAAACAAUGACCACAAACUGAUCAAAGAUGAUCCAAACCAAUUUGCAAUCCUUGUAAGAAAAUGGAAGACAGAAAGCAAGUAGAAUGAAAUAAAGCGAGAAUGGAAAGAAAAGUGUUUGCAGAUGCUUAUAGAAUGUUAUUAAAAAGGACAGUAAAUAGCGUGAAAGGAUGAUAACUUGAGAGUGAAUUAUAAAGACAAGCAAUCAUACAAAGUUUAAACCUAUUCAAGCACGUUACAAUGCCUGUUGGGCAAGUUCUUGAAGUUACUGGCAUUGUUAGGGUAAGACCUUAAUACAAGAAAUCGAUAUUACAAAGGGAGUAGCAUAGCUAUAAAUAUAAAGGAAUGUUUGAACUACAAAGGAAUAAGUGAAAAGUAGGUUGCAGAACUUUUAGAAGUCUUGUUGUAUGCUAAGUUGAGUGUCUUUUUCUCUAAUCCUUCUGCAUCCUUUUAUAGAACCCUUUUUUCCUUUAGAGCAAGUCCACCCAUCCUUUGGAGGUUGGCCCAAAGUCCAUAUUAAUUGACUUAAUAAAAAAUUAUAAAAAAUGUUUAAAAAUACAGAAAAAAAAUUUAACUAUUUUUUUAUUAUAUAUAAAUACCUAACCAUCUUCUACAAAAAUUAUACUUUCGAAAAAUGACACAUGACCUGAUAAGAUUGGUUAAAAAUUCUAUCUGAAAUUAAAAAUAAAAUAAUUUUUUUAUUAUUUUAUAAAAAAAUAUUUUAAUACUAGUUGACUAGACUUUGGGCUAGCUCAUUUUUAAGAAGUGGAGAUGCACUUGAUCAAUUACUGUUCAAUUAAGUCAAUUACUAUUCAUUUUGGUGGAUUAAAUAGACUUUGGGUCAACUUAUUUUUUAGGGAUGAACUUGCUCUUAAGGUUAAGCCUUUUCCAAUUCGGUUCAUUCCAUUUCAUCCAAAUGGUUGAUGUGAUGUUUGUCAGAGAUGAGCUCCCACUUGAAUACUUAAGCUUUGAUCCUCUUGGAUUUAUAGAUUUUGCCAUUGAAAAUGUACUUUUCCUCUGCAACACAGCCGAACAAACCCUUCUUCAGUGUGAAAGAGGGCGUCACAGGGCGGUCUUGCCGCCCAUUUUUGCCACGACAAAAGUGUCUUCAGACCUUUUGGGCCGUUCACUGUUCAUUUACGUGAAAUAAAUAAAUACCCAACAGCAGAAUCAUGUGUUAAGUGGGGCGUUGGGCUUAGAACAGAUCCAACUGUUUAAUUUGGGUCCUAACAGAGGGCUUUAAUGACUCAGGAGACCAGUCACUUAUGCCCCUUGUGCCGAUACCCAAUGCCAACUGCGGAAGUGGUUGAGCCAUUAGAACCUUCAAACCCAGUGCCAAUAGCACAAGCAGUGCUUGAGCCAUCAGAACCUUCAAACCCAUGCAAAUAGUGGAAGUGAGCGAGCUGUUAGAUCCCUCAAACUGGCUUUGGCCCAUGCUGCUCACGAUGUCCGUGGGUGUAAUGGGUGCACUUUGCAGAUUAUUGAGUUAUGGUGGUUGUCUCAAGUUAAUUUGUGGGAGGAAUGUAUGAUCGCUAAAUUAAUAUUCUGCGUGUUGCUAGAAAAAUUCAAACUAGAUGCAGAAAAUUGGCAUUUGGCCGUUUGGUUUCCUGUGAGUUUUUCGAUCUACAAAUAACAAUAGAUGAAACAGAUUUCAAUUAUUAUUGUGUAUACUUAGCGUCAUUUGGUGUCUGACACUACAGAACCCAAAGUAUACAUAAUAAAUUUAAAACUUUUGAACAUUGCUUAAUCUGAUUGCAUAUGUUCAAUUAAUCUAAUCAAUCCAUCAUAUACUCGGCGUAUAAUCAUUAAUGCAAUCAUAGUCAUGAAGAUUCUAGUUUUCUCAACAAUGCAAGUGUUAGCACAGGUUCAACUGUCAUUCUUUUUUCCUUCUCCUGAACAUAAGUCCAAAAAAUAAUGCAUCUCCUAAGUCCUAACUCCUAACCAACAAAUCAACUCACCACUUGCAUACUAUUGAGGACUAAUCAACAACUUUUCAGUGUUGCCCUAAUUAACUUUCAAAUUCUCAAUAUAUCCAGGGUCUAAGCAUAAAAUUGCAAUUUCCGGAAUUCUUUCUGAGUGCUAGGUGCAGUGAGCGUAUCAAAAGGAGCAUAUUGAAUUAUGGAAAACGAAAGAGAGAUGUUAUUGGCACUUUCAAAAGUCAUUCUUCUAUACUUCUUCCUAGUGUUACUUUCUCUUACAAUUUUUUUACGAGAAAAGUGUAGGUUGACUAUUUGGAGUGUCCACGAUAGCACCCAUAUGAUUAUUUUAGUAUAUAUAUUUUUUUUGAAUUAUAGAUUUACAAAUUGAAGGUGCUCUGUCGAAUAAGUGAGAUGUCUUCUUCAGAUAAAAGGUUUACUGUUAAACCUUAGUUACAAGAUUAUUUGAUAGAAAACUUAUGAUUAUAUUUCUUGAUCAAUAAGAUUACAACAGAUGGUUAUAUAUACAACCAAUAAACCUAUGAAAAAUGACAGCUCACCUAACUAAUUUACAGCUCAUGAAAAUUAGCCAUAACAGAAAAAUAUCUUCUAAGUUUUAUCUUUUACAAUAUUAGCCUUAAUAUCCCCCCUCAAACUAAACUGAGGGUGGUGAAGAGCAAGUUUGUGCCGGAGAAGAUGAAACCGAGUCUUGGACAGAGGCUUUGUGCAAAUAUCAGCAAGUUGAUCCUGUGUGCAGAUGAAAUGGAUUGAAAGCUCUUUAGACAAAACUUUCUCUCGGAUAUAGUGGUCAUCAAGUUCAACAUGCUUGGUCCGAGCAUGAAAAGUUUACUGUUAAACCUUAGUUACAAGAUUAUUUAUACGGCCAAACUAUCCCUUCUUUUAUUUCACUGAAUCUGUUAAUUGUUUUCUACGUGAGCUGUUACAUGAGCUCCAUGCAUUUCUUGAACAGUGAUAGUAAGCUCCGGCGACCCAUGACUAGUAGUAGAUGGCGUUUGUUGCCCUUUGUAGAAUCCAAAAACCUUAUCAGUGUCGUUUGCAUAGCUGAAUGGACUUUCAGGCCAGUUCCUAUUAGGUGAGGCCUUAACUUCUUCUCCAACCCCCGCAAUUCCUUCUUGUUCUUGACGGCUUUUAAAAGUAUGGGAGUUGAGGUCUUUUUCGUUGAAAAUUUCAAUCAUGGCUCGAACCCUUCUCCAUCUCGAAGAAGAAGUUCUGGAAUCAGGCUGCUCCAAGACAUGCCUAUGCUUGUAAAAGAAGCAAGCUACGAAUAUGAUGAGAGCUAGAAUUGAAGCCACCCCGGCAAUUAGGAAUAGGCCCCAAAAGCUUUCAAGACCAAGGCUGUUGCUUGAGAUCCUUGGAGUCCUGGAGUUAUCUUCACAAUUGCUUUCUUGACUGAACCAUUUGCUCUCAAUUUUCAUGAUCUUCUCUCCUUCCAUCACGCUUAGGACUGCUUGUGAAAUAUCGGGCACAAGAGGAGAACGCUUUGGAAACACCUGCCAAUUAAGUGAUCAUCUCAAAGAAGUCACGUUUUUAUAAAUGCGUUUAAAUGUCUACAUAUAUGUAUAUGGAAAAUCAUUUCCGUACACAUUUUCUCCUCAUGCAUCAUGUUUAAUUAUGACAUUUGAGUUGAAUAAACAACAGCCGACCGUACUUAGUGAGAUAAGGCUUUGUUAUUGUUGUUGAGUUGAAUAAAUCAAGGAGCAAAAAUAAACAUUGGUGCAUAAGGAGCAAAAAAGGUGUGUAUAAAGGCAAGAAAUCUUACAAAACCAAAGCCAUCAGUUUUGUAGAUUGGACCAAUCAUGGUAUAUUUGGAACAAUAUUUCGCAAUGAAAAGCUCCAUAUAUGGGGUUCCAGCAACAACAGCUGCAAUACCACCCUUUCCGCUCCCUUUCGAAAGAGCUUCAUCACAUUCUUCCAUGGUUUUGAUAGCCUUAAGCUUGGACUCAUGGAAACCGACUUGUUUCAUCAAGAGUUCGCAAACAAAGCUAUUCUCCAUGCAUCCAACAUUCUCCCCUUUUCUUAGUAUAUCCUUUAUAUUCGUGACAGUUGGUUGGAGUUGUUCAACUGUUAAUAGCGAUGCUAGAUUAGCUGUGUAGCUUUGUGUCAAAACUAGCACAACAAACACCCAUAUAAUCAUCAAGAAUCUGGCCAAGUUGCUAACCACUCUCUCCCCUGUAAAAGUGGUUUAAAAAAAGUGUACCAAAAAUAAGGGAAUGCCAUUAAGAUUUCUUAUUUUGAAAUUAGCUAGCCAAGAGAUCGAUAAUUACUAUGUGAAAACACCAUGGUGGAGAAGGAGAACCAAAAGCUUGUGCCAACUUGAUGUGAGGGAGGGCCGCGAAAGUCUUCAUUAAUUUGAUGUUCAAGUACCCAGAUGACGAAACCAAUGAAGAUGAAGAAACAAAAAGUCGUAAGCCACAAGUCCCAUGUCAAGGGCUUCAAGAAAACCCAUGCAUUUUUGCUCCUGGUGUCUCUGAUUGGCACAACCAUUACUACCCCCGAUUCUGUGUAGGGCAUCGUAAAGUCCACGUACAAAGAUCUGUUUGCCCUAAUCGUGGUAUCUCCCACCACAGCAUCAAAUUUCUGUCAACAGAAGAUGUAACCAGAGAAAAAUAUAAAUUGCGGGGUCCAAAAUGAAAUCAGUAAUCGAUAUUUUAUUUUGACAUAUAAGUUUACCUCAAGAUAUACUUGAUAGACCAAAUCAUUGUACGUGCCAGCCAUUGUUCCAUCAGAAUUCUCAAAGGGAAUGAACUCGUAAGGAAGUGCAUAUGGUAGUACUUCAACUGCAGCCUCAAAGACAUCAAUACUGAACCCAGUGACUUGCGUUGUGUUAGUGCUAGGGUUCUUGGUUACCUUAACAAACUCACUAAAACCAAGCUUUACAGGAACUCCAAUUCUCAGCUUCUUGUCAUUUGUUGGGAUCUCCCACCCCUUGGGAACAGAGAAAGAAUCUCCAGGCCAUAUAAUCGGUGAAAGAUUGCACUUGGAAGUUGAAAGUAUGCUUGUAAGAUUGCACUUGGAAGUUGAAGUUGAAAGUGUGCUUGUGUUUGCUGAAUUCAGUGUCUUUAACAUACCAUUUUCUGGUGUCCAAAAUGCAAUAGUUCUUACUCCAUCACCAUUUACGUUAACUAUCUUAAAAUUCGAUGCGUGAAGUUGCCCAUCGUCAAGCCUGAAGUCACCAGCUAUACCUUUGAAUGAAGUAUUAGAUAUGGCUUGUGAAAGUUUUAGACCAUAUUGGGAGACCUCAAACGUAUCAAGAUCUGUUGAGUUAACGGAAUCAUUCCUAUUUUGAAAAUCAGAGUUUGUAUUAAACCCAACUUCUUCUACUGCAAAGGCUAGUGCAAAAACUGCAUCAUAAGCCCGAAAUCCAAAUACAUCGACAUCAACAUCGAUGAUGGCUGGAUUGUCUUGUUGGAAUCGUCUUUUCCACCGCAUUUUGAAAUUUUCAAGCUCCUCUGUUCUUGGAACGUUUCCACACCUAAUACCCCUUGCAUUGAAUUCAGAACUACCGGAGGGAUUGACCAUAAACGAUUUCCUACCCCGUUGGUCAUGAUCCAAACAUAGCCUUUUCUCAUCAUUCCGACCUCUUUUGCCUUGGCAAAUAGCUUAGUGCAAAGUAUGGGCAACAUGUGCACAAUGAAGACUCUAGUUUGCAUUGUCAUUAACUUGUGAAGCUCUUUUUCAAUUUGUACAUCUGUAGGUGAUGCGGGAAUGACACUCCGAUAAGGGACAUGAGCAUCAACCUCUUGCAAUGCAUCAAUUAAAAAGGGUAUGACUCCCUCGCCGUACGUAUUGUCUACAUAAAUUGGCACAACUUGUCUCCAUCCGAAAUUUUUAACAAUGGCACUUAUGGCUUUCACUUGCUGAGAGUCGGUUUGUGUAAUUCGGAAGAAGUAAGAGCUUUGGAGUGAAGUAAGAGAGGGGCUUGUUGCAGAAAAUGAUAAAAUGGGCACAUGAGCUUGGUCUCCAAGAUUAACAACAAAGCUAGCCUGCAUUGAUGUCACUGGCCCCAGGAUUGCUUGCACUUCUACAUUCUUUAUCAGGUCUAGAGCUGUGUCCCAAUAAAAAAAAAUGAGAAAUUAGGUUCAUAUCCUUGUUUUUACUACUCCAUUGAUUAAAAGCCUAUUCAUUUUCAAUUUUUGAUCAAGGUCUUUGGGUAUUAAUAACAUCAUUAAUUAUUUGAAUAAUAAAAUAAUUUUAUUAUUACAUAUAUUCCUUUAAGCUAAAAGCCAAAAUUUUUAGCCCAGAAACAUUUUUUCUGCUCCAACCCUUCUACCCUAAAAUUUUAGCCCGGAAUUAUUAAAGAAUGAAAUUAGCCUAAAUUUUUUUCUUAAAUCAUUUAAAAAAUAAAUAAAUAUGUAGAUUAUUGUAAAUUAAUUUUAUGAACAUUUUAAUCUAAAAAAAUUUAAAUUCCGAUAAACAUUUUGCAUUUAGCUCGGGGGGAAAGCUGGGGGGUAUUUGGCCCAGAAAUAGCAUUUGGCAUUUAGCCUAAAAUUUUAGCAUGGGUUAGAGAGUGUUUGGGAGGGUAAUUUGGGGGGUAAUUUGGCUUUUAGCCCAGGGUUGGAGAUGUUCUUAGUGUUAAAAAUGUUACAAUUAGUAUUUAUAUUUAUGGCUAAAUUUUUUAUCAUAUAUUUUUAUUUUUAGUUUGUAUCUAUUUUUAAUUUGUACCCAUAUAUUAGUUUCUUUUUGUGCCCAUAUUUUUUAAAGUUUUAUUUGUGUUUGUACUCAUGUGUAUACCGUCACGUGACAUUGUAUAUUUAAUCAAUGAUAGAAAAAUUACAUAUGGUAUAUUUAUGUUUUAUGGAUAAACUUUGUAUCAUAUAUUUAUAUUUUUAGUUUGUACCCACUUUUAAUUUGCAACAUUUUUUUUUAAAUUUGUAGUAUUUUCUUUUUAGUUUUAUUUUGUACCCAUGUAUUAAUUUCUUUUAGCGCCUAUAUUUGUUUUUAAAUUCAUUUGUACUCAUAAUUUUUUAAUCUUUUAUCUAUACCCUAAUGUAUUUAUAAUGUACUCAUUCUUCUUUAUUAAUGUACCACUUUGUUAUAUGUGAAAUGUACCAAUUUUUUUUAACACUAUGGAUACAUUUUUUUUUGCCAUUUAUUAUUUAUUAUUUUUACAUAGUUUUUAUCCAUUUAUUCAAGCAAAAUGUUUGAAUUUUUUUAUUGUAACGGUUUCUAAUAGUAUUAUAAUGAGGGAUUUUAAAUUUAUAGGAUUAUAAAUCUCAUAGAAUAUCAAACAAUUAAUGUCAAAACUAUAAAAAUAUAAUUAUUAAUUGUAAUAUAAUGAGGUGUACAAAGUCAAGGGACUUUGAUCAAACUUUGAAUACCAUUAAGGUUUUAGUCAAAGAAUGUUAAGAAUUAGGGACCACAUCCAAAGUAUCCCUAAAAAAAAUUGAUUAGUGUGAUUGACUAAUUUAAUGAUAUUGAUGAAAUUGGGGUUUCACCAUAAAAUCAAUUGGCAGUAUGGGGGAAUAGCCCAAGAUCAUAUAAGCCCCCUUAGCUAGACUUGUCUCUCACCAAUGUGGGACAAACUCUCCACACAACUCUCAACACGCCCCUGCAUGUGUAACCGAUUUUCAAGCCACAUAUGAACAAAAUGUGGGUGACACGUGAGCAAGUGUGGCCCCUUAGGCUUUCAGGGACAACCUGCUUUGAAUAUCAUGAUGAAAUUAGGGUUUCCUCAUAAUAUCAAUUGGCUAUAUGAGAAAUAACCCAAUAUCAUAUAAGCGCUUAGCUAGAAUUGUCCGUCACCAAUGUGGGACAAACUCUCUACACACCGUCAACUCUUAACAGAUAUUAUACAUUAUUUUUCCAGUUAAAAUGGUUAAAUCUUUAUGAAUUGCAUAGUUAUGUAUGAUCAGAUUAUACGAAACGAUGUCAAUAUUCGCUAAUACCCCGAAUCCACGAAGAGACAACAUUUUGGUUGGUCAUUGAAGAAUUUAUAAGGCUUGACGGGACCAGCUGCCUAACACGGUUUGAAAAAUAUAAUUAAAUGACAAAACUGAAAAUCGUACCGUUUUCCCCUCUUGCUCACAUCCCCUUGUAUUAAACAUGUGAGGUCGAAAAUUGUAGGGUUUUGCACGUUGCACUUACAGACACAUCUUUAACAUAAUUUGUUAGGGUUCAUUUGAAAAUGUUUUUAAAAUGAUUGAAAGUGUUCUUAGUGAAAUUGAGUUUGGGUUCCAAAUUUUUGGAAAGAAAUAUCAGAUAUGUGCUUCUUGCAGAAAGCACUUAAAGUGUUUUUCCAAGAUCCACUUAGAUUUUUAUUAAACAUUGGUUUCAAAAAUAUUUUCACCAAAAUGGUUUCAACCAUUUUAAAAGUACUUCCAAACAAACCUUUAAUUGUUACACUGAUUAUUUAAAGAGGAAACUUGAUAUAAGUCCAAUUUUUUUUAGUCAACAGUAAGAAUAGUCAAAUUUCUUAAAAUUUUAAUUAUCAAUAAUUGUCUCUUCAAUGAUAAGAAUUAUUAUAAAAAUCAAAUUUCUUUGUAAUUAUCUCUUUAAUUAUUUCUUUUUAUUUAUUUAUUUGUUAUUUAUUUGUUCUUCCUCCUGCUUUAAACCCCAUUUGUAGAUUUUAUUUUUAAUUUUUAUAAUCAACCUAUAUUGCUGAUUAAUUGUAUUUUAUCUACCUAUAUGACAUGUUCUUUUUUAUAAACAUCAUGUCAUAGAUUAAUCCGUCUUGUUUGUAGGUAUAUUAUUUUUUUUCUACCUUUUAGUUAGAUUUCAUAUCUCAGUUAUAGGUAUAAUAUACAUUCAUAUAUUUGUUACUUGAGUUAGGGUAGAAUGUUUUGCAGAUAUAUUUAUGUUAGUAUAUUAGUUUUUUUGUUAUAAGAUAUUGAUUAGAUUUUUUGGAGUUGGAAAAUGCAUAAUAUUAGAAGAUUUUAAUUGAUUUUUAAUAUUUUUAGAAAAUAUAAAAUGAGUAUGAGUAUAAAAGAAAUAAAAACAUAUAAUUAGAUAAUUGGACUCACCCCUAAAAAACACUAUGUUUUUGAACCUGGAUCUAAAAAUUGUAUGGUUUUGCACGUUGCACUUACAGACACACCUUUAACAUAAUUUGUUAGGGUUCAUUUGAAAAUGUUUUUAAAAUGAUUGAAAGUGUUCUUGGUGAAAUUGAGUUUAGGUUUCCAAAUUUUUGGAAAGAAAUAUCAGAUAUGUGCUUCUUGCAGAAAACACUUAAAGUGUUUUUCUCAGAUCCACUUAGAUUUUUAUUAAACAUUGGUUUCAAAAAUAUUCUCACCAAAAUGGUUUCAGCCAUUUUAAAAGUACUUCCAAACGAACCUUUAAUUGUUACACUGGUUAUUUAAAGGGGAAACUUGAUAUAAGUCCAAUUUUUUUUAGUCAACAGUAAGAAUAGUCCAAUUUCUUAAAAUUUUAAUUAUCAAUAAUUGUCUCUUCAAUGAUAAGAAUUAUUAUAAAAAUCAAAUUUCUUUGUAAUUAUCUCUUUAAUUAUUUCUUUUUAUUUAUUUAUUUGUUAUUUUUUUGUUCUUCCUCCUGCUUUAAACCCCAUUUGUAGAUUUUAUUUUUAAUUUUUAUAAUCAACCUAUAUUGCUGAUUAAUUGUAUUUUAUCUACCUAUAUGACAUGUUCUUUUUUAUAAACAUCAUGUCAUAGAUUAAUCCGUCUUGUUUGUAGGUAUAUUUUUUCUUUCUACCUUUUAGUUAGAUUUCAUAUCUCAGUUAUAGGUAUAAUAUACAUUCAUAUAUUUGUUACUUGAGUUAGGGUAGAAUGUUUUGCAGAUAUAUUUAUGUUAGUAUAUUAGUUUUUUUGUUAUAAGAUAUUGAUUAGAUUUUUUGGAGUUGGAAAAUACAUAAUAUUAGAAGAUUUUAAUUGAUUUUUAAUAUUUUUAGAAAAUAUAAAAUGAGUAUGAGUAUAAAAGAAAUAAAAACAUAUAAUUAGAUAAUUGGACUCACCCCUAAAAAACACUAUGUUUUUGGACCUGGAUCUAAAAGCCUCUGAUUUAAACAAAUUCAUAUAUAGCACACUCUAGGCAUGUAUCAUCCAUUAUAAUAGGACAUCAUCAUAUGUGAGAGAGAGAGAGAACCUGCAGCAGCUGCACCAACAACAGAUUGCUUGGAGUCCCUAGUGUUCAAAACAAGCCUGGUCUUGAAGUGAGCAUGAGAUGCAUAGAAGUCCUCGAUGGCCAUUUUGAUGCAACUCAAAUACAUCUUCCCGCUCUGACUGGGUUGAUCGAGGUCAACAACAACACCCACAUUCACUUGGAUAGUUGUGUUUUCAACCGCCGCAACCGCCGCCACAUUGAAAAUCCAUGACAAGAGGAAGAGAAAGCAUAAAAAGACCAUACAAGGUUUCUUGACGGUACCCAUGUUUAUUUGAACAAGUGCUUUCUUAAGUUGCAAGACACUAUUUGUGAGGAUGAAGCAUAUAUAAAUAUAUGAAUAUGCAGAGUAGGUACACAUGAAAAGUACCUGGAAAAUCACACAUGAAAAGUCCCUGGAAAAUCCUCAAAGAAUCAGCCGGUCGUCGUCGCCAUGACCCAAUCUAUAAGGCCAGAACAAAAUAUGUAACCAUAUCCUAUGAAAAUUAAGAUAUGUACAUUGAAUUAACAAUAUUAUAUGGGAAAUUAAACUAAUUAUUAUUGACUUUGCGGUACUCUCUCUGUGGACAAACCGUAGCAUGAGUCUCGACUAUUAUGCGGAGUGUGUGCAUUCAUGCAAUAAUUUUUUUCGUACUCAUUUCUGUUCUCCUUCUUAUACUCAUUCCUAUUGUUGUCGUCUUUUGGUAAUUAAGCAGACAAAUCAUAGUUUAAAUUAUUAUUUUUUAUGUGUUAAACUGUAAUUUACAAAUAAAUUAAGAUGAAUGUUUUCUUACUUGUAAAGACAUAAACAUUAUUUGUAGUUUAAUAUGCCUAAAUGGGACAUAGUCUUAGAUUCCACCACUUAAUUCAAAGUUGAAGCAUACUCCUCCCGAGUCUUGACUACGCUACAUUGAAAGCAGCCAACUAGAAUAUAAAAUUACGGAUGACCUAUAUAUAAUCUAGUGAAAAACUGACUUCAUAUAAUAAAGAAUAGCCUUCGAAUUGUUUUUAUCUUUAAAUUAAUCUAAAUUGCAAAAGAAAAUUCGAAAUUGAGAGCAUGGGGAAGCAUCUACGCUACUGAAUACGGCUACGCUCAUAUCUACAUAUUUGAAUUGUUUUAAUAAUAAAGAAUUAAAUGGAUGUAAGGGUGGGAGGUGAGGUUCAGAAAUUUUGAUUUUAUGUGAUAUGUGGUUCAGAUUAGAAUUGAAUAAUCAACUUGUAUAAACAAGUUAUUCUAGGACACUCUUUUCUAUUUCUUUUUCUUUACCACUUAAUAUUAUUUGUUUUCUUGAUUAAUUGGGGAUAGCAAGCUGAGAUAUUGGAACUAUCUCUCCGGAGACAAAUGACAAGUAGUAGAUGGAGUUUGUUGCCCUUCAUACAAUCCGAAAUCCUUAUCUGUGUGGUUCAAAUAGCUAAAUGGACUUUCCUAAUAAAAAAAGUUAAUUGUAUGUUUAUAGAAGGGACAUCUAGAAUACAUCCACCAAUUAUCUUGUCAUGUGUAAAACUUCCCCUCGUACCGCCGAAGUUUAGAAAAAAGGAAGAUGCAUUGCAAAUGACGCCAAAAAGAAAGUCAUCUUCAAGGAAUGGAGUAUUCUUUUGAAAUUUUCAAAGAUUUUAAAUGAGGUACAAACUUUUUUCUUAAGUCUAAUUAAUCCACCACUUGAUUCAAAGUUCAAGGAUGUAGCAUACAUUCUUGACCCAAAAGGCUCAAGCAUAUGUCUUACGACUUUGUCUUAGAACGUCACAUAUGACUUCCUGAUAGUGUCAAAUUAAUAAUUUAAGAGUGCGUUUGUUGCACCGGAUUGUCUCGGACUGGACUAGUUUUAGGGAUUAAGCUGGACUGGCUUAGACUAGACUAAGCUGGACUAACUUAGUGAAACGUUUUGUGCAGUAUCGGACUAAGAAGCAGAAUAAUUAACAAACUCUAAAAUUAUAUUAUUUAAUCCCUAUCUUUUUUAAUAUGUUUUUAUAAAUUAUCAAAUUAUAAUAUUAUACUAUUUAAUCUAUAUGUUUUUUAAUACUUUUUUUUUCUUUUAUUUUCAUUUUCUUUCUAGAAUUCUCGUCUCCUUCCCCAAAUCUCUCCACUUUCCCGUCCAUCUCCCUCUCAAUCUCUCUCUCUCUCUCUCUCUCUCUCUCAUCAGCAAUUCUAUUCUUUUCACACAUUCUCAGAAAGUCGGGUGAGGAAGUCGACAAGUAUCCGACGAGUGAGGAAGUCGGGUAAAAAACCCACCUCACCUUCAAUUCGAUUACUAAUCAGUCGGGUGAGGAAGUUGACAAAUAUCCGACGAGCGAGAGAGAAGGCAGUUUGGUAAUUACUGGACAACCAUGGCAGCAGAUCCUGUAUCAAACAACAAACCACCGUCAUCUUCCAAGGCCCCAGAUCCAGCCAACCCAGACUCUUCUCCGAGCUGGAGCCCAACGAUUUGAGACCCGUUGGGAAAGUUGGCGAGCGAAGCAGACAAACGAAGAAGACAAGUGAAGCUGACGAACAAAGCCGGUCUUAGCAGUCCUGUUGUUUUCGGGGGGUCUCUGUAAGACCAUCUAAGGAGGUUGCUAGUCGAGGCGAGUCCCUCGUAGUACCAUUAAAAGUAGUCCGUGUUCCAAACAAACACUGGACUAUACUCCAAUCCAGUCCAGUGAGACUUAGAGAAGCCAAACAAACGGGCCCUAAGCUUCUAAACAACAAUGUACCUAUUCAAUCAGAUCCAUGGUGGUUUCAAAGAUGAAUUUCAGCUCUCCAAAUUUCUCAUGUGGCAUUUGCGGUGGCGGGGGCCGGGUAGGGCUCGCUUCAUUUCAGAAUCAAAAUUUCUGAAUCUGUCUCCAGCUUUACAAAAGUUUAAAGUCCUAUGAUAGUUUUCAAGCAUUUUAGAGCUUGUUUGGUAUUUUACUUGAAUCAAACUUUUUAAACUCAAAAAUAAUUUUCAAGUUUUAGGCCUUAAAAACUUGUUUGAUAAGACUAUUUUAAAAAACUGAACUCAAGACUAAUUCAAACAUAUAGUCUAUUAUCUAAAAACACAAAAAGUGAUUUUUUAAAGUUUUUAAACUUAAACUCACUCUUUUUCUUUCUCUCCCUCCUCCCUUCUCACUUCACAUCCAUCUCUCUUUUCUUCUUUCUCUCUCCCCCUUCUCUCUCUUUUUUUUUUAUCUUUUUCGUCUCUCUUCCAAUUCGCUCUCUUCAGUUUCUCAGUUCUUUCUCUCACUCUUCUUCCUCUCUAUAUCCUCCGAUCUUCUCACUUCUUUCUCUUUUCUACAAUCAUCUCUUACUUUCUUUUCUCCUCUCUCAUCUUUCUCUCUCAACCCCCUUUUUAUGGAUCUUUUUGUCCAAUUUAAGUUGUAAGAUUUAAAAUUUUUAAAUCGCAUACCAGUUUUAAAGAAAAUUGUUUUCAAGAAAAAUUAUUAAGAAAUGUUUUGAAAAAUUAUAAAAAAUUAUAAAUAUGAUAUCAAACAAGCCUUUAUAUUCUUCUAGAAAUUUAUCAAUAAUUCUUGUGAAAUUUCAGCCUUGUAAGCUUAUUUAAUUAAUAAGAUCUAUAGCAGCAUAGUUGCAGUGUACUGGAAGACUUUAAAAUACUGUUAGUAUUUGUAUCUUUUUAACCAAUCAUGUACGUGCAGUCAAAUUGUCCUAGAACUGAUAAACAAGUCAGUCUCGUCGUCUCUAUUAGAGGUCAAAAGUUAAUACAUAUAUACGUAGGGUGGUUAUGAAAGGGAGGUCUUGUUGAGAAUGAAUCUACUUAUUAAUAAUAGGAGAGACCUUCUAAGGACUUAUAAGGAAUUAGGUCACUUCUCAUUUGUUAAUUGGUUUUAUGAUAAAACCUUAACUUUUUUUAUGGUAUCAGAGCAAAUUAUUUUAUGUGUCAAACCUGUUGGCUGAAAGGAAAGGAGGACAGCUCAGCUGCCAAGUCAGCACAAAUAAGUUAAAAGAAGUUAGAGAGAUAACGGGAAGUUAGUUAGGGUGGUUAGUAGUGUAAUGAGUAAGAAACAAUAGCCUAAAAAUACAAGGCUAGCAGAUUGUAAUUGUAUCGAAUUCAUUCCUUCUGAAUACAAUCUACUUUCUCUCUCAUUGCUUCUCUCUCUUCGAUACUUUCGUUCUUUACAUUUCUGUGCUUCUGCAUUUCUUGCAAACCUUCAUUUCUUCUGCUUUCUUGGUGCUGUUAAUAUGGUAUCAUCGCCGAGGAACGAUGGGAUGAUUCUUCCGCUGGAAUUUUCUGCAAGUGCUGGGAUUUCUAUGUGUACAUAUUUGUUCCUGUUUUCGCAUAUAAGGUGUUUGCGAUAUUGUCUGAGUAGAAUUUUGAUCUGAUUUUCAUGAGUAAUUGAUUGAAGGCCGAUGCCAUGUCUUGCUGUGAUAUGAUAUGUUUGAUGUAUGUGAUGAAGAAUGUUUGAUAAGGCCGAUGCCAAGUGUGUACAUUCAGUGAAAUUGAUUGAAGUAUUUUUUUGAGUUUCUUGCUACGAAGGGCCGAUGUCAGUAGUACAGAAUUGUUGAAAAUAGUUGUUGAUUGAAAGAUUGAGUGGGGUAUCUUUGUUGAUUAAUUGGUUGAUCGUUUUGGAGAUUUCAUUUCUUGAUUAUUGAAAGUAUUCUGUUCUUAGAAAGGCAUAGUAUCAAUCUUGCGUGAUUUGUGAAGCAAUUAUGUCAGAAAACACUGAAAAUUGAAGGGCUUCUGGGAAUGUUGACUGUGAAGCUUCAGGAUGAUAAUUUUGUAAAAUGGUCCUAUCAAUUCCAAUCUGUUUUGCGUGGAUAUGAUCUGUUUGAUUUCUUUACUGGUGAGAAUCCCUGUCCACCAAAAUUUGUUAUACAUACUGAAAUGGGUGUUACGAAGGAGAUCACUGAUGCAUAUAAAAGCUGGGUUAAAAAGGAUAUGGCAUUGCUUAGUCUGUUAAUGGCCACUGUAUCUGAUGAUGCAAUGGAACACAUUAUUGGUUGUAAAACUCCUCAAGAAGCAUGGACAUUCUUGCCAGAUAGAUUUGCUUUGGUGUCUGUUGCAAGGAUUAGUCAGUUAAAGACGGAGUUCUACACUGCACAGAAAGGAGCAGAUUCAGGUGAUAAGUUCUUAAUGCGAUUGAAGUCUAUUUGAGAUCAACUUGUUUCUGCAGGGGAAAAAGUUACAGAUAAUGAUCUGAUUAUAGCUGCGUUGACAGGAUUACCACAAGAGUAUGAUAUGAUAAGAACUGUGAUCUUGGCAAGAGAGACAUCAAUUUCUGUGAAGGAUUUUGGAGCACAGUUGUUAAGUGCAGAAUUGGCUAAUGAAUCCAGAAUUUCUUCUUUAACUAAUUCUAUGUCUGCAAUGUAUGUACAUAGUGAAAGCUCUAAUUCAAGGAGUAAUGGAGGUCAUGGAAGAUAUCAAGGGGACAGCUCAAACAUGGGAUCUGGCAGUUAUCAAGGAAGUUCAAAUCAAAGGCCCUACUCUUCUCAGAACAAAGGGUCCUAUAAUUCUAACAGAUAUGCCUCUGGAAACAAUUUCACAAGGCCAUAUUUUGGGAAUCAAUACAAAGGCAAUAAUAGUUUCAAUCAAUCUGGGUUUAAUAGUUCUACUGGGUCUACUUCUACUAAUGGUCCUAAACAGGAUCAUGAUUGAUUACCGGAUGUUCCAGAAGUAAAUGACUUAGAGUCCCAUUCGUCGUAUUUUCCUAAUAUGACACGAGUUCUACUCCACAAUGAGGCUUCUGGACCAAGCUGGUGUAGUUGCACCGAGAUAUCCUUGAGUUCUCCAGACAAAAACAUGGCAGCAAAUAUGAGCAGAGCUACUAUUGAAAAACCGAUAGGAAUGAGAAAGAGGCCCCAAAAGCUUCCAAGGCUGAGACUUGGAAGAGAUCAAACUGUUGGAGUCUGCACAACAUGAGUUGAUUUUUAUGGAGCCAAUCAAGCAAACCCAAAUUGACAAGAAAUUUAGUGGAUAUGCUCAGUCACCUGAGAUGCUGAAUGCUAUGAACUGGGUGCAAUUGGUACAUCUUACUCUAUCUCUUGCCAUCUUUAAUUCAAUCUAUCUACUACAGGAGUUGGUGGUUGGUGAUGCACAAGGCCAAUAGUUCUCUUACUCAACGCUGUCAAGAUCAGUGUGCUCCAACUAUUUUAUGAAUUCAUUUUGGCAGGAUAUAUCUGGUACUGAUAUUUGUCUUUUGUCUUUUGGGUGACCACAAUGGAGAUGUUUUGGAAGAACAUGGUUCAGGAUUAAAGACCAUACAGAAGCUAAUACUGGAGAUGUGUAUGGUACACGGUUUGAAAAAUUGGCUGUUUUCUUUCCCAGACUGCUCUAUGCUUCUUUCUCGGUUUGAGUCUUGGGAGGCUUGAGGACAAGCUGUUGGAGCAAUAUUAGAAAAUAUGAAAAAUAGCAAUAUAAUUCCAAUGAUAAUAAUCAUAAAGAAAAUCACAAUAUUAAUAGUAUACAAAAUUCAUAAACUAGAGAUAAAGUUAGAAAAACUGACAAACUUGGAGAUUGAGGCUUGCAUAAAUGCAAUGUCCUAAAGAUAGAAUUUCGUCCCUACUCUUGUGCUUGUAGUUCGAUAGGCAUCCAUCUCCCAGGAUUCAACAAUUUAUAAUCCGAAGUCAAAGCACUUCAAUCUUCGGACUCUGGCGAAUUUUAUAUAUUCUGUACUCUCAAGACACGACUCAUAAUUUACACACGAAGCAUGAGAGAAACAAAGUGGGGAAACCCUAUUUCUCAAGAGUAAAAAUUAACUCUAAUUUUCUAUAUCUAAUACCAAUGGUUUCAUGGGUUUAUAUAGAAUCCAACUUUUACUUAUUAAAGAAAUGUAACUUUUCAUCUAUAAGUAUACAUCACUUAUCAAGUAUCACCUAAACAACAUAACCUUUCUAAGAAAUUGGUUAACACUAUUUUUCAUUCAAUUAUUAAAAUUAUAAAUUACAGCAUUUUAUACUAUAAUAUAAUUUCCAACUCAAGCCUCUGCAAAACAUAUUCUGAAAUCACAACAAGAAGACAUUAGGAUCACGAAUAAAUCAAAUCAAUAUAAAAUAGAGAUUGACUAAUUAUAUUAAACUUAUUUGUAUAAUACAGAACACAUGGUUAUGAAGAUGAAGCCAUUGAUCCUCGCGAACAAGGUAGAAGUAGUCUUCUACUUCCAAUACCUCUCAAUGAACUUUGCUAUCGAAAUAGGCUUGUAGUUUUCGUGAGUUUCAGAUGUAUGGAAGCAGGGACUGCUCCUUGGUUAUAUAGCUAGGGUUUCAACCAAUUCCUCCCUAUUAUUGGAAAUGAUAUCAACCUAAAUCAUAUCUAAUCAAUUAGAGUCCCAUCAUGACUCUUAUUCCUUGUAUUUACUUAAUAAAGGUUCAUAAUUGAUUGCAUGUAAUUAGGACUCCAAUAUGUUUAUUUUCUUAAGGCACCAAGAGUCCUAGAGAUUUCAUUAACUUGAUUGUCAAGUCAACUAUUCCCUCAAUUACUCUCGGCAUAAUUAUUCGUGAUCCUAAUGUUUUGUUGUUGUGAUUUCAGAGUAUGUUUUACAGCCUCAUGUUAAAAGGUAAGACUGAUGCGACUCUAAGCUACUGGACUUCUGUUAGGACCAAUUGGAUCACCUAUUGUUAUUGUUAUUGUUAUCUAUUAGGCCCAUUAUAUAUGUAAUACCAUUAGGCUUAUCUACAUAUCAACUCUACUAUCCUGAGAUGUAUUUAAACAUUUUUUUUGAUGUAAAGAUGACUACGAAUGAAAUGAUAUGAAUUUAUUUUAAUUUCUUCUACUUUUCUUGUAUUUUCAUUUCCUGUAAUUUCCUUUCCGGUUAUCUCGACCUCUGAUCCUAUCAUGCCAGUGGUGCUUGAGCCAUCAGAACCUUCAAACCCAGUGCAAAUAAUGGAAGUGAGCGAGAUGUUAGAUCCCUCAAACUGGCAUUGGCCCAAGCUGCUCAUGAUGUCCAUGUGUGUAACAGGUGCACUUCUUUGCAGAUUAUUGAGCUAGGGUGGUUGUCUCAAGAUAAAUUGAGGGACGAAUACGAUCACUAAAUUAAUACUGUGCGUGUAGCUAGAAGAUUCAAACUAUAUGCAGAAAAUUAGCAUUCGCUGUUUCGUUUCCUGUGAGUUUUUCUAUCCACAAAUAAAGGUAGGUGAAGACUGAUUGCAUAUGUUCAAUUAAUUGUCCAAAGAAAAUUAUUUAUACAGAGAUUAAUUGCGAUGGUCUAGAAUUUGGAAGUCCUAACUAGCAAGAGAUUUUUUAAUGUGUCAGGAACGCUAGGCGUACCGCUAUGUGUUAUUAUACGAGUGGAGGAAUUUUUUUUAUCAAGUGUCCCUACUUAUAUAAUGAUAUAUAGCAUAUGUGCUUGUAUUUCAGACAUAUUGAAAAAUCUAUCAUAGCUAGCUAUAGAAUCCAUCAUAUAUUCGGCGUAUAAUCAUUAAUGCAAUCAUAUUUAUGAAGAUAGUUUUCUCAAUUAUGCAAGUGUUAGUACGAGAAAUUUUUCAUUGUGACGGGAACACGGGUGGUACACUAUGUGUUUUUAUGUAAGUGAUGAGAAAUUUUAUUUUUUAAGUUAUUAACUUUUUAAUACACAUAUCUCACCAUGUGCUGGUCACACUGAAAAAUCUCUCGUGUUAGCGCAUGUUCAACUGUCAUUCUUUUUCCUUCUCUUGAGCAUAAGUCCAAAAAUAAUGUAUCUGCACAUAAUGCCUUGUUAUUUUAUACGAAUUAUGGAAAACGAAAGAGACUUUUUAUUGGCGCUCCCAAAAGUCAUUCUUUUAUACUUUUUUCUAGUGUUAUUUUCUCCUACAAUUCUUUACAAGAGUGUAGAUUUACUAUUUUGGAGUGUCCAUAAUAGCACUCAUAUUAUUAUUUUAGUGUUAUUUAUUUAUUUUUUUCAAAUUAUGUGUAGGCUAAACUAUCCUUUCUUUUAUUUCACUGAAUCUGUUAAUUGUUUUCUACGUGAGCUGUUACAUGAGCUCCAUGCAUUUCUUGAACAUUGAUAGUAUGCUCCGGCGACCCAUGACUAGUAGUAGAUGGCGUUUGUUGCCCUUCGUAGAAUCCGAAAACCUUAUCAGUGUCGUUUGCAUAGCUGAAUGGACUUUCAGGCCAGUUCCUAUUAGGUGAGGCCUUAACUUCUUCUCCAACCCCCGCAAUUCCUUCUUGUUGUUGACGGCUUUUAAAAGUAUGGGAGUUGAGGUCUUUUUCGUUGAAAAUUUCAAUCAGGGCUCGAACCCUUCUCCAUCUCGAAGAAGUUCUGGAAUCAGGCUGCUCCAAGACAUGCCGAUGCUUGUAAAAGAAGCAAGCUAUGAAUAUGAUGAGAGCUAGAAUUGAAG
rnacentral:lncRNA from 1 species